rnacentral:lncRNA from 1 species
GAUUACUACGAUUACAAUGCAGAGUGCAGGCUGACGUGCGGCAACACGGUAAGCAGAUGUAGCCGACAUACAUUUCAUAAGUUAAAGUUUGUGUACCGCUGUGUACCCUCUGUAAAGUGCUGUUUAUGUCUUCCGGGUACGGCAUACCGCUGCGUGCCGCUGCGCACCGCCUUACUCUCACCCCUGCUCCUGAUGCUCUUAAACUGUGCUCUGGUUACAAGCCUCUGAGAGCGUCUAUGAUUACCAAAAUAGUGUGAGAUUUUGAAGGCUGUCAGCAUCACUCAAACUUGUUUCUAUUGUUUCCUCUCUCUGCAUUUUCAGUUGCGACCUAAAGAAUGACUUACUUUCAUGCAGUGUUUGUAUUUGGUUGUAUAGUUUUGUUCUUGGAGCUCUCUGCUGUUCUUACAAUGAUUGUUAGCCUAUGCAGAGACUUCCAGUACAGAGUCAUGACUGUUUCUUGAUGCAAUCAUGGCAUGAAAAUAAGGCUGCAUGAUAUUGGGGGAAAAAACCUAACACUGCAUUUUUUUUUUCUUUUCAACCCUUUGAUAAAUAUUGUGAUAUUAAAAAAUAAAAGGAAUUUACAACAGAUGACCUGAAUAUCACUUUAUGCUGAAAUCUUGAGGACAGUUAACCUGCACUGAUAUUUCCUCUUUUUGUGAAUGUUAGUAGAGUGGCUUCUGUCUGUCUCAGAGAUAUGUUUAGCUUUUAUUUGUACUGGGAUGUUAUUGUGGCAACAGACAAACACAGAACACGUGUUUUGGUCGACAUCAUCCAUCUUGUAACCGAAAUAAUUCCAGAUAACUGACUUGAUUUUCUCUUGUUUGUUGCUCAUAUUGAGAUCAUUGUUGUUGUUACUGGUGUUGUGCCAAGAAACCAUGUCUACCGAGAAUUGCAUGCACCUCACAAAAUGUGAACCGCUUAUAGUAGAGUCCACGGAAAUGUACAAUUUAAAACCCAGUUCUUAUUUGUGGAGCUAAACUGUGAUAAGUAAUGUUCUGAAAGUAAUUCUCGGCAGACACGUUUUUCCGCACAACACCGACAGGCCAGCGACUCACUCCAUGUGCAGGGGCGUGGUUUCCUCUUCUGAUUUUGAUGACCGCUGGCAGAAUAGAUUGAUUGUCAACUGAGUUAAGAACAAAUGUGAUUGGUGGAUCGCUGCACAGCGGAUGCAGUGUAUCUCAGUCAGCUACCCUUGAAAUUAGAUGAGUUUAUUCGCCUCCGACAUCGCAGGCUCUGCAAUGUGACUAUCUCGCACGUGUACAUCGCAAUGACGAUGCUCAAACGAUAUCAUGCAGCUCUACAUGAUAACCAGUUUUUAUGAUGGAUGGAUGGAAAUGGGUAAAUGGAAGACUGGAUGGAUACCAGAAAUGGAUAGAUGGGUGGAUGGAUGUUUUUUUCAGUCUUUUUUUUAUUGGUGUCAGCUGGUUAUUGCUUAUGCUCAUCAUCUCACUCAUCAGUUGUUUGUUUUUAAUAUGACUUUGAUCAACUGUCGUUUGUCUUGCUGACCAACAUUAAUGCAGUGAUCCAAUGUUGUUUUCAGAAAGUAAUGCAGAACAAAUCAGUCUGGCAUUGCAGCACUUAAACCCCCUCUUACUGAGUGUGACAUGGCUGCUGUGUUAAUAUGAUACCUAACCUCCCUCUGGUCUGAAAAAUAGAGUCGAAGCAUCGGUACUGGAACACAUCCAAUGUGUGAACUUGUGACCAGCCUUUUUCCCCUGCAUUAGCAGGCGAGUCGCUGCUUUUUCUGGCAACUUGCUGCACGCCAGCCCGUGUGCAUCCAUGUGUGUCUUUGUGUGCGAGCACUGGAGAUUAAAUACAUGGAAUCCCCCCGUAUAGACACUGUUGGGUAACAGUAAUAGGGGCCAAGGGUACAGCCAAGGGGACGACUCCUAAGCACUCCUGACAUAACAGUUUCAGCGCUGAAGGCUACUGUGAAUUAAAAUAACCAAUAGUAUGAGUCAUAUGGAGAUGUUGUGUUGGCGAGGAUUCAUCAAAGUUGAUAUCUGCAUGACAGUAACAGUAUGGAGGUUUUCUCCAGUCUCUCCCUGGGCCCUCUUACUCAUAAUCUGACACCAGUUUAAUUGAAAGAGUGUAGAAAUCAAUAGCAUAUUAAAAGAUCAGCUAAGGUGGUUAUGGCAGUGUAUCAGCUUCCUCCUCACUAUCACCACAAAUCUUAAAGUUAUAUUAUGAUCUCCAUCUUACAUCUAUCCAUCUGCAACUUUAUAGAGAGUAAUAUUUUCUAUUUUCACACGAGUAUGUGUUUAAGAUCAAAUAAGCUCAUUUUUAAGGAGAUGUUUGUGUUUGCAAAAGAGAAGAGACAUUGGAAAAGAUGAAAAACAGGUAAUUCAAUCACUUCAGGGACAAACAGGUCCUAGCAUCCUCAGGAAUGAUGAUUCUCACGACUCAAGCGUCUGCGCGCGUGUGUGCGUGUGUUGAAAAAGCUCUUUUUUUCAAUGACACACGCUCUCCAAAUCAAAUCCCAAGCAGCCUGGAGUGUUCAGAAAUGAUCAUUAGGAGCCUCAGUGGCACUCGAAAUGUCGCUCUUGACGUGCACAGGAUGCUGCUCCUCACAACCUCGCGGUAAUGUGCGGCGGCAAUCAGAGGCAGAGGAUGGGUACCAACCAGCCGAGAUAAUUAAGGUUGAACCAACAAACAUAAUCAACAUCCAAUCAGGCUGUAUUGUGGCAAACAACUCAGCCUGAAGAAGCCUUGUUAAUUUGCUCCAUCCAUGGAAAGUGGUUGGUUGUAGGUCGUCUGCAUUCAAAUUAGUAAUGAAACUCUGUAGCUGAACUUGGUCACCAGUUGUAUCCCAGUACUUUACCAUAUAAACCUAGUAUUAUUACUAGAAAUAGUGUUUUCCAAUUGAAACAUACAAGAGUCUCCGCUCUCUCUUCUUCCAUCAACACCUUCUAGCUGUGUUUUCAGAGCACAGCACACCGGACAGCCGGAGUCAAGAGGUCAAGGAUUUCCCACGUUAUAUAGAAUCAGUGAUUUUCCACAUCCAUUAUGAGCUUUGAAAACUUCUGACCUGUUGACUCCGAGUCUGGGCCCGUUUACUGUGACAGUUUGUUGUCAUAGCUAAGUGAAAUAAGAUCUGGAGUGUUUUUUAUGUCGUGAAAAUACAACCAGAUGUUGCUUUUAUGUCCAUUAUUUCUGGAGUCAGGUAAAUUUAAAAACUUUGCAUAACCACAGCAGAAGAAAGGAGCUGCUGAGACGGAGUAGAAAUGCAACACAGUGUAAGCAAACAGUUGGAGUGAAGUGAAAACGUAUCUGCUCUCCUGCCAUGGCAGCACAAAGACAGACCAAACAGGGAUCUGGUGGAGAGAUUAAGAUAAUGUCAGAAAGUGUUCAGGGUGCAGGAAGCUGGAAGGAGGCCUCAGGCAUCGGCCCAGAGUUCCCUCGAGGGAUUAUCCAUCCGGUCUGGGAACGACUCAGGAUCCCACUAAGGGGGCUGAAAAUGUUGAGGAGAGGGAGGUCUGAAAGUACCUAAUGAGACCGCUGUACCCGGGAUCUAAAGGAGAAGGAAAGGAUGGAUGGAUGAAGGGAAAAGAUAAAUGGAUGGGUGGAUGGAUGGGAAAAAUAGAUAGAAGGAUGAAAAUGGGUAAAUGGAUCAAUGAAGGAAAAAUUGUUGGAUGGAUGGAUGAUGGUUGGAAAUAGGUGGAUGGAUGAUAGAGAAAGAUGGAUGAAUGGAUAGAUGGCCGGAUGGAUAAAAAUGGAUGGAUGAAUGGAUGGAUGGAUAAAAUGGGUGAAUGGAUCAAUGAAGGAAAAUAUUGGGUGGUUGAUGAAUGGAUGGAUGGUUGGAUGAAAAUGGAUUGGUAGUUGGAUGGAUGAAAAUAGAUGGAUGGAAAUGGGAAAAUGGACGGAUGGAUGAAUGGAUGGAUGAAUGGAAAUAGGUGGAUGGAUGAUAGAGGAAAAUAAAUGGAUGGGUGGAUGGAUGAAUGGAUGGAUGGAAACAGGUUGAUGAAAGGAGGAAAUACAUGGAUGGUUGGAUUGAUGGAAAUGGAUGGAUGGAUGAAUACCAGAAAUAAAAGGAUGAUGGAUGGAUAGAUAGAUAUAUGAAAUUGGGUGGAUGAAUGGAUGGAGGAAAAUGGAUAAGUAGAUGGAUUGAGUAAAAUGGAUGGAUGGAUGUUUUGUAAGGUGUAAUUUUUGCUUCCAUACAUCCUCUGUGAAGGAAAAGACAAAUAUUUCAUCCACUAGAGGGCGCUGCUCAGACCCCAAAGUUAUUCCACAAAGUCUGAAGAAGAGUUAAAGUUUCUGACAAGUAUGGAGAUGACAGAGAUAAGAUAACGAUGUACAUAGUUAACAUGUGGACGGAGAAUACAGUCAUACAAACGAGAACUAACACUUUCUAAGUUGUAUCCAGCUUGUGGCGUAAACAACUGGCUUUACUAUCUUGGUGGUGAAGCAACAGCUGGUCCAUAUGGCACGCUUGCAGAGAAUGUGCAGAAAUAUGGACUGAGCUGGAGGGCUGUAUCUGAAUCCAUAUGUCUUUAUAAUGAGCCUUUAUUUCACAGUGCUGUGGUGCUUUUGUUCCAUUAUAUUUGAUAAUUGUCAACGUAUGAUGAGAAAAUAAACAAAUUAAAUUAUAACUGAGAAGAUGCUGUUAUGAGAAGUGUACUUUCUUCUCCAAGUUUCAUCAAACUGACCUACGAUUUGAUCCAAGUUGGCGCCCAGGCCUCCACAUACCUGCCAAAGGGUGUGCUCAAUUAUUUUACAGCCUUCUAUAGAUCACCUCAUGCUCUUUGUUUUCUCCUUUCAACUCAAUACAGAUGAAAUAAAGCUCGAUCUGCACUUCUUCCAUGAGAGGAGAAUAGACGCAUUGAUAACCCAUCCGUCUCUGACAUCAAACCGAAUCAAACGCGUAAAAAAAAAAAAGAGAGCAAACAUGUUCAAACAAGGAGUCCCCACGCCUCCUCUCUUUCUCUCUUUCUCUCAGCUUAAUGACUUUUCUUUCUCGUUUGUAGAGGCAUGAAAUUCAGCAAAAGUAAUGACGAGGCAGGGAAGCCUUGGCUUUAAUUAAGGACUGCUAUCAUUGUAAUCAUUUUUAUUCAUAAACAAGACUUAAAUACUCUAAAAGGCGCCUUAGAGAGAGGGAUAUAUUAUUGAUUGAAGGGAGAGAUUAGAAAUUAAUGACCCAUGUGUCCCAGAUUGAAUAAUCAAUUUCAAUUAAAAUCAAUUUCACAGUGCAGCUGCUUGGCAACAGUUCUUCAGAUCGGCUUUGAUGCUGUUCAUUUUUCAACCUCUUGAAGGAGGGAGCAAAAGGAGAGUGCGGACAACCUGUUCCUCUGACUCUCAGACUGUUUUGAGUCAUAGACGGUCUCAAUAAUGGCUCCAGACUUCGUGAUGUUCCCCAUUAGUUUGCUAACUCCCUUUAAAAAGCCAUGAGGAUGACACUUUGACCCUUGCCACGCCGGUCCUCUGGGCCAGAAUUAGACAACAGGAGAGUUCGGGGAGGAGAGCGAAGGGUUGGCAUACCUCUGUCUAAUUUAUUAGCUUGCUAAUGAGCUAGUUUGCUCCAUUGUUCCCCUCAGAAAGAAACUCUUAAUUGUGAUUCCAAUCAGCGGUAGCUGACCAGAGCUGUUUAUUGUCGGACUUGGAAAGCUUGUGAAAGGUAAGAAAGUCAGUCUUCACCUCGUAACAUCUCCAGAGGGAGGGGGAGAGGCGAGUCGACAACAAAAAGCAGUUAGCUUAAAUCAAUCAGUCUUUACAUCAUUACUGUCAGCCUUCAUCACAGUGGACCAAAGGAAACAACCCCGACUCUCUGCAGGCCGAUACUGAUAAAACCACGCAUGAAAGAAGCUACUGAGCUAACGAGUCAGGAGCAGCGAGUGCAGACUCCAACGCCUGCUAAUUAGUCCUGCGACAUGAAAAUAAAAGAUGCAUGGUAUGGAUUUGUUGAGACGAUACCAAUAUAACUCACCCUUGAUCACACUGUAUAGACCCACAUCAGACGCCUAUACAUCUAAGGUCAAACUCAAGUCACUGAACCAGCAUCAAAGAUAUGUGGAGAUAUGUUUGCAACUUAAUAUUAACAAUGGUUGCCACUAAAAACUUAAACUCUGAGUCACAGAGAGGAAUUAGAGUCUAUGGAAAGCAUGAAAACACAUCCUGUACGAACAUUAAGUCUUGACUGAUCUUGUCUGGAGAUUGAAAAUGAUCAGUGAAGAGACAGCGUGGUGUGUUUGUAAAUGUGCACCAUGCUUCUCUUAAUGAGAGGACGCACUCAUUAUUUCUGCUGCAGGUGUCCAACAAGCUGAAAAUACCUGCAGCCUCACCGCUGUUAGUAAAAUGUUUGUAUUAAAGGGAAGGUUGUUGUAGGUAUUUAGAUAUUCUGCCAUGCUGCUGUUGGGGUAAAGGAGAACAGCAUCUUGUCUUUUUUAAUAUGAGGUUAUAUAAGGAAAGUGAAUUAAUCUGAAUUUGAUCCUUUAUAAAGAGUAUUUUAUAUGGAAAUGUAAAAUCAGAGUUGUUCCUUUUGGCUGUUUGACUUACACCUCACACUGGUUUUAGUCAUCAAACAUCAUAAAUCAUGUCUCUAAAAGCAUCCAUAUCAAUUUCAAUCUUGAAAUUCUUCACAAGAGCUUUAAGCAAAAAUCAUGAUUUUUUAGUGUCUCUUUUUAUCCGAGCAGAAACAGUACCUGAACAUCACAGCAUGUGCAACAAAACACACAUGCCAGACCUCUCUAAACUGACUGACUGAAUCAAUCCUAACCUAUUGCAGCCAAGUACAAGUUUGCAAGUCUAAGUUAUCACUGGUUGGACUCAAGUAGGUUUACAGCAACCCUGGUGGGCACUGCUGCUUCAUAUUUCUCCAAUCAAUUUUUACAAGAUCUAUUUUGUUCAAACUCGAGGACCAGCUCUUCACCCACGAAGCUGAGAGCAGAUGUUUCGCGAGUUGCCAAUUUUACUUUACUCUUUCAUCAACUUGAUGCAGCUGCUCUUUUCCGUGUGUAUUAGCAGCAUACUACUUGCAGUCUGGAUGUAGAGGCUUGUCGAUGCAUGAAAACAGCUUUUGUUUGCUGUUUUUAAAGGAUAACUCUGUAUCAUGAGGCAUGAAAAUCAAUGUAAAAUAUGCACUUUAACAAUCCCCCAAAAAAUAUAACACGGUCAUCAAAACACUUUGAGGGCCUUUUAACCUCCACAACCACAACUACAACCUUCACUUUCUUACCUCAAAUUUCCACCAUAUGCGGAACGGCGGCGAGAAGGCCGUCCGUGCCGAUCGUUUCCAUUCAAGUUAAUGUGUCAGUUUCCACCGGCUGAACACCUGCAGUUCAGUGGGCUUCGUAGCCCUAACUCUAACCCUAACCCCAUGACUAAUUCCCUAUCUCCACUAAAGUGUCUGAUCUAUUGGUCUGGACAGAGUGGAUUUCCUCCUCUGGAAGGACACAAUCUACUGCUUAUAUGGUUAUGUGGCCUUCUUUGUAGAGACAACUGGUUAUUGCGUGAUUGCGUGUGAAUUUGUGGGUUCUUGAGUCCUCGUGAUUUCCGCUGUCUGAAAUUUGCCAAGAAAUUCGCCUCACAAACACAUCCGGUAGGAAUUGGCGGACAGUGAUUCGCAGCGGUGCCGUUCGGAUGUGGUGGAAAUUGGGGGUUAAUAUUAUCGCCUUUUGGAGACAGUAUUCGCAGAUGCACCAUUAAGGUCAGAGCUUGUAAUUCAGUGCCGUCAUGCCACUAAAGAUGCAUAACUUUGACUCUAACUGGAGACCAGCUGUUUUAUUUUUGCGGCUUAAUGUGUCUCCUCUCAACUUUUUCCUCUGAAGACCAUGAAAGAAGCUGCUCUGUCUGGCUCUUCAACUUCAACUUUGGCACGAGGCACAAUUACAUCCUCGAGCCUGUAUCUCAUCUGACCUACAACUAACUUUUCCCCUUGUUUUAUAUUCAGAGAAGAAAAUAUGAGCAGCAUAUUGACGCAGAGUUUUCCCUGCCUCCUGGCACAGCAGAGAGCCAAAAACUUGGCGAGCUGGGUGAGAGAACUCAGUGUUCCUCUUUGGCCUUGCAUACAAAAUCAUCCAUCAUUUAGGUCUUAUUGGAGAUGACAAUGAUGAGGUGCUUGUAUGGCUGUUCGUGUGCAUGCGCCACGCUGCAGAGAGGUUACAAUCUCCUGAAGAUGUGCAUAUGAUAUUUAGGAUUCAAAUUGAACGGAUGGGGUGAUUGCUCGGCCAGGAGAGAAUAGUGACAUCCCAGUGGGCAUGCCCUUAUCAGGAAAAUAAUAAAGCUAUUUCCGUGAACAAAAUUAGACACACGGGCUGUCAUAGGCAAGAAAAAAGGUCUGAACCAAUUGAACCAAAGAAGAUGCUUAUUAGAGCAGUUCAAUUUGCAUAUAUUGCAUGUCAGACAUAUUGGCAAAAAUGUCAAAAACUAAAUCAAAAGGCCUUUCUAGUGUAUCUGCUGAAAUUGCUCCCUGAUCAGAGUGAGUGAAUGUGACAGAAUGGUGACGUUAUGGGUGUCUGGCAGAAAUAAAUCACCGCUGAGACAUUUAUCUGACAUAGCAGCAGUGUUUCGCUCCUGGAGAGGUUUAAACAGGAGGCGAAUGUGUGAGAAAGGAGAACUCUUUGCCUUCAUUUUUUGCUGAUUUCUCUGUUGUAAUAAAAGAUUUCUGACAUAUAAAAAGGAAGGAAGCGGUGAAGGGGGCCUGUCCUAGAUUGCUGCGGAGUGAAAAGACAUCUUUGUGCCAUUAUCUUCACUGUCUACUUUUGAGGAGAACAAAACUGUGAUUUGAUUGAAUAAAAAUUACUGAGAGCCUCUUAUAAUCUAUAAUAACGGCCAAAAAGGUCUGUGUUGUGAACAGCCUGUAGAGUAAAAGUUCAAGGGUAAACUAUCUACCAUAGCCUGAAUUGGCAUCUCUGUAAUUCAGUUUGGUAUUUUUCCUUUUUUAAGGCCCGUGCAGCUUUUCCUGCCCGUGUUUUGUUAAAAAAAAAUGAUGGAGGCUGAGUUGGAUGGUGUAAACCAAGGUAGGAAAGCAAUUUCAGCUCGAUCAUUUCACCACAAUAAAAAAGGAGACCUGUUCACCAAACUCAAAUUCACUGAAAUAUCCAGAUUUUGAAGAGUGAAAAGAAAGAUGGCAUGCUUUGCAGCAUUUGGUCAGGAAUACUUUCCAUCUUUCAAACCUAUCUUGGACUCAUGGAGUGUUUUUCUAUUGUGCACUUUUUAUGUAUGUCUCGGUCAAACGUCAACCUCCAGUCUUGAGAAAUGGAGCAGAUGUGAAAGUGCUAAAAAAUGCAGUCUGCCUGAGCACCAGAAGCCUCGAACACACUGAGGUAGAUGUUAAAGACCUGACCAAAAAGUUAGGUUGAGUCAUGGGGGCGUUCACACCAAGCACGAGUAAAAUCAUUUGCACGAAUAAAUUACACGUUGAGUCACGGCGAAGACGUGAUUAGACCCUCAUACUACUCUGGAGGCGUGAAUGACGCAAAUUGGGUGGCGCGAAUUGAGCAAGUGAUUUGAGUGAGUUGAGUGAUUUGAGUGAGUCAGUGAAUGACGCAAAUUUGCGAGAGUUGAAAAUAUCUCAACUUGAGCGGCUAUUUGCAUCGAAAUAACCAAACAAUGGUUCCUGGGUGAUGCAAGAAAACAGACCGGAAGAUGUUCAGUGGUGUGAAAAUAAAUACACAAAUCCUUUUAGAGAGUGCAGCGGGAAAUUUAUGAUAAUCACUUCAUGGAAAUGCAAUCAGACCGAGACGCUCAGGCAGAGGAACAAUGGCGUCUGCGGUGCACAUUCAAGAUACACAAGAACUCUGAUUGCAUUUCUAUGAAGUGAUGAUCAUAAAUGUUCUUCCUUGAGCUGCGAAACUCCGCUGCACUCUAAUAACAAAUAAUAUCAAAGUUAAAAGAUGUUUGAUGGCUAGUACUAUGGCUGGGACCCUAUAUGUACGGUUGAUGAAGUUAGGUGCUGUUCUGAGCAUUAUUUGUGGCUAUAGAGUGGCGUUUUGGUUGAGGUUUGCACAUGGAGACAUGGACCGCUGUGUAUUGCUAUCGUGCGGUCGUUAAUGAAUUUGGUAUACCUAGAGAGGCAAUAAUUAUCUCUCGAGGUGGUGUCUAAUUCGUUGUUACGGCGUGUUUGACCAUAACUUAAAUUCAUGCCGGAAUAUCUCUUUAACCCUACACAUGAAACUUUGACAAGUAAAGACCUAAAAUUGUGCCAUUUAACAUCUUUCGGACUCUUAAAGUGUGAGACCUUUACACAAUCAGUGCACAAGCGUCUCUGCCUCCAUCACCUGUUAGAAGUACUUACUGGCUUUGGAUGAUUUGCUAAAUUGGACAAAAUUCGCCGUGCAGCUACAAUCAGUGAAUAGUCUUCUCAGUGGAGCAUGCUGCAGCCUGGCAUCUUUUUUUUCAUACAGUAAAGGUUGAUCUCAGGCCUCAGCUCAAGUUUCUCCAAAGUCAUUGCAGUGGUUAAGUUGAAAAGUGCAGAAAGAAGAGACUUGUGACGGAUCAGGCCUGUCUCAGCUGGCUUCAAAUCGCCUGGCAGAUCCCUGUCAAGCUCUUUUUGAGAUGCGAGCUGGAGGGCCCGUAAUGUCAAGUGCCUUUGACACUUAAGACAAAUGACACUCUCAGCCCACGUUGGAGAUAUUAGAGCGCUGCAGAUGGAUGUGUGGCAGGCUGGUGGCUGCACAGACACACAGGAAUCUAAAUAGAGCUGUUAUCAUCAUCGCCAUCAUCAUCACGUUCGAGUCCACUGAAUCCAGAAAAAAUAGAAAGAAAAAAAAAGAAGUGAGCGUGCAGGGUGGUUCGAGAGUCUUAUCAUCUGUGCAGGCGCUGGCGCCUUUCAAAAACCUACAAGCAUUAAUUAAGAAUCCAUUAUGAGUCCAAAUCCAUCAGAAAUGUGGACAUUAUGCAGAGUGACACUCCAUUAUUGGAGCCUAUGUUGUGUUUUGUAUGCAAGAGUUGUAACAAUUUCUUGUGGGUUUAUGCAAAAAGAGCAGCAAAGCCAUCUGUUUGGAAGCGGUGUGAGACGCAGAGUGAAUAUUGAUAAGGACACCACUGUUCCUGGUAAUGUGUUAGCUUGCUGCUCCAUCAGAUACGCCGAACAGCAGGAUAUCAUGUAACUUACGUAAUAACUAUCAAUCUGACACUAACAGGUACAGCACCGGUCUCUCCUGCUGUGAAUCCUGCAGUUCCCUACAAGAAGAAUCUAGCUACAUUACAAUCUGUUUGGUAGAAAAGAGAGUUUUUUCUGCUGCUUUAAAUCCUUGGGAAAUCCAUGCAAGGUUACAGAAAGUCUGAAACGCAACUUUCAAAGACAUUGUUAAUUUUUCGAUACCUGUGUGGGCACAAGGCUCGGACAUUAACUCUGCCUCCAGGUAUUCAUCCAAAGGUCAAUCCUUCUCUGAACAGAAUAAUUGCUGACUUUUCUAGUGCUCUUUAUGUAAUAGAAUCCGGUCGUCUUCUUCUUCUUCUAAGCAAAGAAAUGUUAUUUUGAAUGUGUGAGAUAUGAGCCAGGAGCAAAUCAUGAAUUUGCUCAGGUCUCUUAAAUGUGAAGCUUUUCAUUUCAAUGUGACAAAAUUGGAGAGGAGGUCUGUAGGAGGAUGUUGAAUAAAGAACCACCAGAACGUGUCAGAGGGCUCCAGGGUCAGACCUUGAUAGGAUUCAGCAACCCAAGGACGAGUCAAUUCCCAAUCAUUAUGAAUACAUCACCUCUGAAUCUGAAUAGUUAUGGGGUCUGAUAGAGCCAUAAAUAAAUCAGCCGAGAGGUCAAAUGGAAGGCGCACAGCUCAGAGACGGUCCAGACGCAUCCUUUCUGAGGUCGCGCCGCUUUUUUUGAAUCUUUAUCUUCAGCUUUCAUACCAAAAUCAAACAGGGAGCAGGAAAAAAAAGGCGACAGAGAAACAAGAUUCAUCUCAAAUCCCCCUAAGCCUUUAUCGAAUAAAUGCUCUCACACAAUGAACCCAGCACACUGGAACAGAUGUAAACAAGGACUUCGCACACAUUCACAGAUACUGGAGGAGCACGAAAUAACACACACACGAGUCAAAUCUACAAAGACAAGCAGUGAAAAGACAGCCCUGCAGAUGUUCAUGUACAAAACAGUGUUUCACUUUGAGGCUGAUUAUUCUCCAUGUCGGAUAAUUUAUUGAUUUACUCUCAGGUUAAAUUUAAUUGUUCAAAAGCGUCAAAAACAAAACAAAAAAGUAAAAGGUGCUUUAUUUUUUCCCCCCUUAUGUAGCAGUAAAAUGCAGUUAUUUUUGUUUACUCCAUCAGUUUCAUGUACAUGGAGAUCAAUCCCUCAGGGAGCCGUUGAAGGCACUUGUAUCAUCAUCUGUGGCUUUGAUGGGAGAUUAAGCAUCUGUACAGUAAAGCCUGGUUCAUACAUGACCAGCUGCAGCAGCUGUGUCCACAUGGCAAAGUGCACGAGGCACCAGGUGCUCAAUGCACAGGAAUAGAAAACGUUGUUGUCAGCGGUUAUGUCGUGGCAGGUCGGAGACAAACAGUAAGACAGGGCUAACUCAUUAAAAAAGGAAAUAAAUCAUGUUUAAUAGAAGGAGAAAAAGUAAUGUUUCAUUCCAUAAACAAAAAACAGAAAAUAAUUUUGCAAUUCCGCGGACACAUCCUGAAUAAGAUCGACAUCAGGAUUCUCACAUAAUGUAAACACAUAGAUUGUAUAUAGAAUAGACACUGUCUACCUCCUUGCUGGGUGAAUCUAUAGUAGAUUUCAUAGAUGCAAAGGUUCAAAAAUGAACUACACGAAGACAGAAUCAAGCUGAUCAAAUUUUAUUUUAGUUACAGCAUCGAACACAACUCGUGACAAUCGGACAGACAUUCGAAGCUCAAACCAAUCCCUAGAAACCCCAGAACCGUUUCCUUCUUAUACCACCCCAACGGCGUCAUUCGUCCUAUUUCCCGUAAAAGGCCUUCACAUUGAUGUCUGAUAGCCAACAACGUGACUUCUUCUGUAAACAUGUUUUCCUUGCUGGCCAGCUCUGCCAAUUUUCCUCUUGAGAUUAUUCACCAUUAUUCAUAUGUGGAAAGUUGAUCCCGACCUGGCCUCUCUGUGGCUGUAUCCUGUAUCCUGUAUCCUGUAUCGCAAUAACUUUGCUCAAAACAUGUCUAUUAUUGGUACUGUCUGUCUGAUUGUAAUGAUUUGUUUAGAUGCUGUAACUAAAAUGAAAACCCAUGAGAGGCUGCCAGCUUGAUUCUGUCUUCGCGUGGUUUUUGCACCGCGAGAACAGCACCCUCUGGUGAUGGGCUGCAGUAUAGCUCAUAAAUCCCGCCUCCUCCAGCAAUCCCUAUGGAGCUGUGGACAAACUUUAGAAAUUAAUUACACAGAAUAUAAAUUUUUCUCCCCCCCGGUUGUGACGUUGACAUGUAGUUACUGUGAGACUGGUUUGUGCUCUAGUCCUCUUUUUCUCUGUACAGCUCAAUCUUUAGUUUGUUAUUAGUGAGUUCGCAUUUUCUAUGAUUAUGGGUGUAUGAAGAGGUGGUUCCAGGAAGCGGAGAAAAUCCUGGAAAUACUAAGCACAAUUCGGAUUUAAAUUCGUAUACUGACAGACGGCGGAGCCAAGUUGUCCAUAGCAUAUACAGUCAAUGUGUAAACGCUUUUAAUCUGGCUUCGAUCUGGAUGGCAGCAGUGACACUAGAUCUGAGAUGAUGUGAGCUGAAUAUGUUUCUAAAAUUGAGCCGAAGCUUGACCUGACGAACUUAUCGCCUACUGUUGAUCCUCAGAGGAAAGCAGCAUUUAGAUUUAUUCAAAGUUUGUGAAGGAGCCACUUAAAUUAAAUGAACUGCACUACCCCGAGGGAUGUUAUGAACCAUGACACAAAGGCGUCUCUUCAUUGAAAUGUCAAUACUGAUGAAUAUUUCCAAAUUAACCGAAGAGAUUCUGCGUUCAAACAGCCCUUCGGCCAAAGCAACAGUGGCUUUAUCUUCUGUCUGGGCACACUUUUGGUGUUUUCUCGUCUCCUGCAUUAACAUUCAGCUUUUUACAUGCCCAUCUGCUUCCACAAAACUCUUUCCAUAACCUCCAGUGAACUUCUGACCUCUUGACAUAAAGUACAGAGAGCUUGCCGAAUGUUGGCAUCGGAAAACGAGGUGCAGGAUUCGGAGCUCCUUCUGGGACGGAUCUAUUUGACCAUGCACUUUUACUUUAUUCCCACACAAGACAUCAGCUGCAUGAUUCAUCAGUGUUAAUGUUUACAGAUUAGCUAAUUUAUCAGUGAAAAAGCAUGCACUUCAGGUUUACUAUCUUUAAAAACAAGUAUUCUUAAGGAGACAAUCGAAGAGCCAAGUCCACAUGUACCGUCGGAGUCUCUGCAGUGUUGUGAUUACCUUCAGAAUUACUGACCCCGUCUGAGCCUGAUUAACGUGGAUUGCUCCCCAGCGAGCUAUGAACAAGCCUGACAGAUUGUAUGGCAACAUAUAUUCACAUUAACGCCCACAUUGCAGAGGGGGAAAUGAAUACCUCUGUGGGUUCUGCUGAGAGGGACUGCAGACGGGCGAAAGUAAGAGCGAUCCAUCAUGUUCUGAUCACUAUAUUCUUGAGAGGCAGUCAGCGGGAACUGAUGAUAAACCACCGAAAAGCCAUCAAAUCUCUUCCUUGAGCCUUGCAGGAUUUUCUCGACGGAGGAGACUAUUUAAUGUGGAAAAUAAUGUUCUGAAAAUAAACUGCGUAUUCUUGUUAUUUUUACCUGUACGCAAAUAUCAAACUGUGUCUACGUUCGCUCAAACAUCCUCGGUUCAUGCUAAUACAGAGAAUCCCCUCACUUGCUGAAGAGGGGGUGCAUUAUGCAUAAACUGUGUGAAUAAAAACAAGCGCAAAUCUGAUCAUUUGAUUAGGCCGGGGUAAUGUGGCGGUCAUUAAAUAUUCAGGAACUGUGUCCUCUAUUCUCAGCUUGGGAUUCAUGUGAACAUUUUCACCACAGCGUUCUGUCUCUUGCAAUAAAAUCCACCCAAUUAAACCCCGCCAUGCAAGAAGAUAGUUGCUUAUUUUCUGCAUAAUUUGUAAUGAGGAAUACAGAUCUGAUAACAACACCCUUUAUACCCUCGAUGAAUACUUGAAAUAUUUACCGAUCGCAGAAAACAGGGUGACAGUGAAAAAAGACAACGCCGUCACUUUAUUUCUUGGAGUCGCUCCUUUUUGUUUGUUCAUUUAAAUGAGUUUCUCUUGGAGGUGAAUUCUGUUAAAUUUGUAAAUUAAACACCUCCCUCUGAUGUUAUAAACAAAAAAGACAACACAUCCUCCAACUUGCUAAGAAUUAGCAAAAACAAGGAAAUUAAGUCGGAGGUAAAUAGUCCCUCAAGGGGGACCAAACCCGGCUACAGUGACGCCUUUGCUGGCUGGAAAAGAUAAUGAAGAGGAAUUUAAGAAUUCAGCAGCAUGCUCAUGAGCUCCUCCGAGAUUUUUUUUGUAUAAUUAUUUUGUCCUCAUAUCCUCCUUCAGCUGCGGUACAUGCAUAUUUCCCUGCUCUGUUUGUAUGAAUAAGCCUUACCCCUUACAUUAGAUUAAUUCUUAUAUAGCCUGUUUUUAAAUACACAAAUGAAUUUCAUAGAAAUCUCUUAGUCUUUUGCACAGAGGUGAUAAACACAUCACGCAUUCAUCACACACUGAUCAAGAAAUAUCUAUUUGGUGGGUCUUUUAUUAGCCCUCUAAAUCUGGAUGUAUAAGACCAGCUUUUAAUACCUUUACACCAGACAAAUACACCUGUUUAAAACCCAGCAAGGUGGCCCAGUUUGGUAUCAACACUUCCGAAAGCUGUGGUAUAACGUCGAAAAGUUAAGCGACCAGCAGAGUUUGCAUAGUUUGCAAGUUGUUAAGCAUCUGUGUGUGAGUGAGCGCUCUAGCUAUAAGUGGAUCUAUGUUAUCUGUCAAGCAGGUGGAGAUAGGUGAGAGGUCGGUGGGACGGAUAUGUCAGACAGGAGGUCACUCAUCGAUAGGUCAGUCUGUCGGUGUCCUUCGAUCCAAAGAGGAAGACAGGAUUUGUGCACAGUUGCAAAAGUCUUUGGACACAAGCUUCUUGUUUUCCAGCUUCUUGUAAAACUUUUGUUGUGGUACAUUUGAAGGUAGGCCGAGACAGGAUGAGCUGUCUUUUUCUGUUAUACCCUCUAAUUCUUGUUCAUGUUAAGAUAGGGUCUGUACCUCAAACAUAUCAAGGCAACUAUGAGCUGUCAACUACCACAAUUGUGGCUGACAGGCAGUGUUGCCAGAUCUCCUGAGAGAAACAAGCAACCAGCUCUAUGAAAACAAGUCCAAAAGGCAACCCGUGACAUGGUUUAAAACAGGGGCCAUUGGUUAAUGGUAAAGAUAUGUACAAUUAUUAUUACAUUAUGCAUAAGCAACAAAAUUAUAAUAAACAGUUUACAUAAAAAAAACUUCAAAAAAAAAAAAAGUUCCAAGGGGGUCUGUAAAGUCUCUAAAUCUAAGUCCCUAGGUUUGCAAAACUGUUUCUCUGUCACUCUAUGCUCCGGUGUACAUGAGCAUGAUGUGUGAGUGUGUUAUGGGGCGUUCUGAUGGUCAAGUGGGCACAAGUGAUCAAAGACCGUCUACAACAUGAGUGUUCUCUCAGUUCCUGUAAAGAUGGCCUUUUUUUAAAUGGUUGUGUAUGUGGCUCCUGUUGUUCUAGAGCCAGCCUCAAGUGGACAUUUGUGGAACUGCGGUUUUUAAAACUUCCACAUCAGCUUCAAUUUCAAGUCUGGAGCUUAUUUGAUGUUCCUAAACAAGUAGAAGAAUUUGUGACAAUUUUCUGGAUCAUUUAUGUCAGAUGUUACGCUGUUCCUGCCGCUCUCAUGUGAGUGAUUUGUUUAUGUGCAUUUGAUGUACUUAUUUCAUUGUGUGAGAGCUGUACAUAGCUGUAAAUAGCUCCGUCCUACAUCACUGCCUGAGUCUUGCUUUAACCUUUGUAUGACUUGUACAUCUCUUUAACUAUCACUUUACCGUGACUCAUGUUUGAAGGGAGCAGAAUAAACAGCGUUCCUUCGAGCUCAAGUGGGAGGUGAUGAAGGUGAGUGUGCUGCAGCUCACCUUUAAAAAUGAAGAGAGUCAACAUAAAAUUGACUCCUCGUCUGAGGGCAUGUGCAAAACAACUUUCCUGAAAUCCCACUCAAACCAUAAAAAAGUGAAGUUAGCGUUGCAUUCACACCGUAAAUGAAUGUCUGAGAUAAGUCACCCACUUUCUGAAUAAUGAAAACAGUAUUUUUCUGUUUCUCUUUGACCUUUUCGGUGUCAUUGUCCAGAGUCAUCACGACUGAGGGACAUCCAAGUCCCCACAGUGGAGGAAAGCUUUUCGUAUGACUCCUCAGGACCUUGGAGUGUCCUCGAGUAAGACAGUGAAUCUCCACUGCAGCUCUUAUGUGGCUUUCCUCUUAAUGACCUGGACCUCUUGCAGCUGAGUGAAAGUGGACGAGAAAAAGGAAAAGGAAAAAAAAUAAGUCUGCAAGGACCAAUACUAUCAUCGCCUUCUUCACCAUCAAUUUAUAUCUGGCCAUUUUGGGGUAGAGCUGCCUUCCAUUAUUUCAAAUCAGCAACAAGAAGUGAAUCCCUGCAGAUAAAAGCUGGUGCUGCAGAGUGAAGAGAAAUGCAUGUUAUUUCACGAUUCUUUUAAUGCACCAAACUUUGCACUCUUAAGUUAAAAAUGUAACCAGCACUGCCCUGUUUGUUUAAUUGCACUGCACUGCCACACCAAGGCAUGAACAUCUUACACAGCAUUUCCUGCAAAGGGCAGUAUAUAGACAUAUGUAGGGCUGGGCAAUAUGGGAAAAAGUUUAUCACAAUAUAUUUUCUUUUUUUUCGUACCAGUAUUGUCGACAGUGUCGUCAUCUGUUGAGCCGUCAUCUGUGUUUCUGCCAGGGGUAGCACUCAUUUGCUGUGCUAUGGUUGUGUGUAGCUGCUGUCUGCUACUACACAGUUGUUUGCCACUUGGUUCUAAUUCAGCACAUGAUUGGUUCAGUGCGGCGCAAACCGGGGCUCCUCCCCUUUUCACUCAUUAUUCGUAUAGUCUACCAAAACAUGGCAGAAUGCCGGCUAUCGAAAAGCACAUUGACCAUGUUUCAUAUCGAUAUUGAGGGAAAUUAGUUUUUGAUCAUUCAUCAACCAGCCCUAUACAUAUGGAUUUUUUCAAUGCACAAGAUGCACUUUGAUGUAACGAAGAACCUCUGACACAUGGUCUAAUAUAAACAGCUCUAAUUAGUCAUUAAAGGGAUAUUCAUUUAUGAUCAUUUCUUUAUGGAAAUGCAAUCAGACCGAGACGCUAAGGCAGAAGAACUGAAGUGUUCUGAAGUGCAAAAUGAUUAUUAUUGUGAUUUUUACUUCAAGGAAAUGAUAAAGUAAUGAUCAUAAAUGUUCCUCCUUGAGCUGCGAAACCCCGCUGCAGUCGAUGGACUGGCCUGAGGUCUCGCAAACAACAAGCUGCUGCUGGAGGAGAGUAGGUGAGUUGUGUUUAGUCUCUUUGCUAGAGAAAUUAGGCUAGUACUAUGGGACCCUAUAUGUCCAGUUGAUGAAGUUAGGUGCUGUUCUGAGCAUUAUUUGUGGCUAUAGAGUGGCAUUUUGUUUGAGCGUGUGGCUCUCUGUAUUGCUAUCUGCGGUCGUUACUAAAGGUGGUAUAACUAGAGAAGCAAGCAGUCGGCAACAUUCAUCUCUCGAAAGGUAGUCUAACUCUGUGUUACGGUGUGUUUGACUCUAACUUAAUUUUACGCCGGAAUAUCCCUUUAAUGCAAAGUUUAACAGCUGAAGUGUGUUUUAAAGACAAGCAGAUAGAUGGAUGUUACGUCUGUUGCUCUAGGCGCCCCCUGCUGGCAGAGAUAUCUAUCUUGCCACUCUGCUAAUCUAGUCUUGCACAUGACAAAAAACUCUUCCUGCUUUCUUUGACUGUCAUCAUUGUAAAAAUGUAAAGAAAGGCUGUUUCUUCAGUCAUGCUGUCAAUCGUCUGCUCUGACACCUACCUCCUCACAGCAGACUCAGGCGUCAUGAAUUAAAAUAUGUCACUCUUGUUGUUGAUGGGCUUGUUUGCUUUUGUAGGUCAACCUGUUUUACGGUCUAUUAAAAGCUCCAUACUGGGGCCCUGACAGAAAUUUGGGAGGGGGAACAAUUCUUGCAGCGCUCUUUAAAGUGUGUUUUCUUCACCUUGGCUUGUUCUGACUGUAUAUUUAGACUCGUUACAAGAAAAGUGUCGGUGCAAGGCAAAUAUAGCAAAUCAACAAAACAAGACUCCUCAGGUUGCAGUGGAAUCAAAGUCCCUCUACCGCCAUGAAAAGUUUUACACUUAAAUGCAGAAAGUUAGUCGCUCUAUACAUUUAUUAAAAUAAGUUUUGAUGCAAUAUUAUUGUACAAUUUUAAACGACUAAGUCUUAUUUGAAAUCAAACAAUGGUGUACACAAGAGGGACAAGGAUAGAGGGGAUGAUCGCCCCCCAGAAACCCUCAUAUCUGAAACUCCUUCUGUAGAACGCAUUAAAAAUGACCUCUCCGGUAACCUCGCGAUGAGAAAGCUGUAAAAAAAUAUUGUCUUCUGGAUGCCUCUUGGAGAUAAACUGCAGUAAAACACCAUCUCAGAUGUCUCUCCAGUAAGUAAAGAAGAAUAGGUGCCUCAAUGGUAACUGAACCUUGACAGUUAGUCUUCGUUUUGAUUCUCACAUUAUUUUAUUAGUUUAUAGGGCGUUUUAUCGGACAACAAAUCAGAUAAGCGUCACCUAGACAUGAAUGCUAGUUUUAUGCAGGAAGUAGAUUUUGUUUUUAUUUCUGUACUUUUGUGUUUUCCUUUCACUUGACUGAAUUUUCUCCAGAAAUAAAAGGACAUAUACAAGUGUUGGCUGUUGGAAAUUAAGUUUAAGUGCCAAAUUUACAAAAAAGCAAGACUCCUCAAGUGUGCAAACACCCUUUGCAAAUCCAAGAAUGCAAACUCAAGGUAAAGUGGGUAUUUUGAUUGCAUAUUUAAGCAUUGGUGGAUCCAAAUAGACACGUGUAACCACUAACUGUUGCACUUUUUGCACAGUUAUUCAAGUGCAUGGUUCAACAUUAACACAGUUUAACUUGAUGCAACAAAAGGACUCCUGCUGUGUCUAUUCUCCACCAACAGAACUCCACCUGAAUCCAUCCUGUUUGGAUAACAGCCAGAAUAUUUCAUUGUUAACCAAUUCUAACCCCAAAUUACUAAUUUGGGUGAGAGGGUUGUUUAUUGGCAUGCAUGAGUAGCCAAUUUAGGUACACAAAUUGGUAGUACAUACCCACUAAUAUGCAAUCUGUGCUCACAAAUUAAUCAGUUACUUCCCCUGGAUUAAUCGGAUUGAGAUAUGUAACCAUGAGAGCAGAAGUAGCAGGUCUUUGAGGCUGUAGUUGAUGAUUUCGGUGACAGGUGUUGACUGCUGUGGGGGUUUCUGAACCACUUUUUGUAAAAACUCAUUGGCACUCUAAGAAAACUGUGAUUUGUAACGAUUCCUGUUUCUGUUCCCUGUCUUAUAAGUGAUCACGCGCACAGAGUUUUCCAUGUUUUGCUGCGUCAGUGGAGUUAAGUGAAGUAAACGCCCCCCUCCAAUCAAAGUUCCUCUCAUUUUUGAUAAGAUCAUUCUUCCUGCUCUCCACCUGCUUAUUAAAACGUGCACAUCCACUGUUAUGGACGCCAUACUGAUGCAUCCAUGGAAUCAUUCUGCAUGGCUUCAUUUUCCGAGUCAUUAGCGCUGUUUAGCUCCAGAGCAGGUCACAGAUUCAGACAGUGAGGUCAGCCUCCCACCCGUCUAGUGUCUGCUCUUCAUGCAGAACAGGAAUGGAUUUUAUAGGGUCCUACCUCUCGAAGACUUUAUGUGGAUUUACAUAUGGCUGUUUCGGUGUUAAGUGAUGACUUAAUUCCUCUCUUAUUCGUCCAGUGUUUCAAUAAACUACUAUAUCAGCCCACAUUAGUCUAAUUGAACAUGGGAUUAGUUCAAGUAGGCCUCAAAGCCAGGCUCAGCAAACACCAGCCCACACCAGCUGACAGCUAAGUCGAUAACUGUCUCCACAUCAAACUGGAAGAUGUCAAAAUGGGCGUUUUGUUUGAACUGUUUCAGCCUUCCUGCUCCUCCUGCUCACCUUCAGCCCAGCUCCUAAUUUUUAUGUGGUGUCUGAUCUCACCUGUACUGUCACCGAUGACUGCUCUGCUCUGCUUCUUGGAGAUCAGUGCUGUUGUUAAAACAAGCUUUUUCUAUCUCCGUCUGCUAGCAAAGACUAAAUAUUACUGCCUUUAUAACAUCAUGAAUAGAUUACUGUAACUCCUUGUAUGCAGGCUUGAACAAGUCAUCGAUCAACCGCCUUCAGCUCAUCCAAAACGCUGCUGCUCGACUCCUCCCUGGCAAGAAAAAGCGCAACCACACAACCUCAAUUUUAGUGACCCUUUACUGGCUCCCAGUCCACCUUCGCAUUGAUUUUAAAAGUAUUUUAAUCGUUUUAAAAGCCCUCAAUGGUCUCCCCUCUGUAGCUGUCAGAGCUCCUGCAUCAACUCCCCAGCCAGAGCCUUAAGGUCCUCUGACCAGUUGCUUUUAGACGUCCCCAAAACUUGACUGAAGUGUAGAGGUGACAGGGCUUUUUCAGCGAUCGCCCCUAGACUCUGGAAUAGUCUACCUGGCCAUAUUAGAGCCUGACAGACCCUAGAGACUUUUCAAUCGUCCUUAAAGACGCACCUUUUCUCCCUUGCAUUUUAUAAAUGAGCACACACAAAUCAUAACCACUGCAGCUUUUAUUCUUUUCACGUGAAUCCAAGGGGUUGUUAUAAGUUCUCGCGAUUCCUGCUGUCUGCAAUCCACCAUGAAAGUCGCCUCAAAAAACGGACUCGGUAGGAAUUGGCAAAAGGCGAAAAUCACAGCCGUUCUGAAUUGAAGCCAUUCCGGCCAUACAGUGGAAAUCGCGGGUUAAAGGUGCUUUAUAAAUAAACUUGACUUGAUUUGACUUGGAGGUCUUUGCUAAUGCUCUUAAGACUAAAAUCUUCAAAUAAAUGACAGGAAAUUCAAUAAUGAAGGAAAAAAGAGGAUAAAGAAAACAUGACACAGCCUAAAAUUGUGAUAACAGGAGUAGCAAUGACUCAGCCAAUAAUCAUCACCUCAGUUUUAUCAAGAUUUGUCUGCAAGAAGUUCUGAGAUUUUCACCUUUUUAUGUCUCUGAUUCAUUUGUUUAAUAUGUUAAAAUAGACGAGUACAGGGAGGUAUCAUCUGCAUAUGAAUAAAAACUAAUCAGGCAUUUGAUAAUAAGCUAACACGGUAAACCAUGAAACAUCUGAAAAUCCAUUCAGAUUGCAGUAAAGUGGGCCUGUUUGUCAGUUUUCCUUGAACUGGAUAUGUCGAACUGCAGCGAGGAUGCUCAGAAAUGCACCGGGGCAUAGCCGUAAAAUUCUUCAGUGUUGCUCGUGUCCCUGAAUGUCCCACAUACAAUUCUUGACAAGGGCAGAUUUCUGAAAGAAGUUAAGCACUUUAAGGCCGGCCCUUGACAACUCUGAUCCCACUGCCUCCCACUGCCUCCCCUCCUCGAGUGUUUUCUCACCUUCCUCUGAAUAAUAAUAGGUUUGGCCGGGGAUCCGUCCUGCGCUGGCACACAGCUCCAGAACAGUCAGGGUGAUGUGAGACUUUGCUCUGACACUCUCUCCUCGUUGACUCUGAAAACUUGUUUUUAUCAGGGAAACUCCUGGACGGCAUUAUUUUUAACAUGAAAAAAAGUAAACAUCAUAUUUAUCUCAGUGACCUAAUUAAGAGCUUUGCCAUUAAUGAGGCCGGGAGGUUGGCACUGAGCGGUCCCAGUCUGUUUGGGACAAAUGCCUGGCCUGGCAGAGCGUCACACACUGGUGAGAUCAGCUCUCGUCCCCCCUCAGCUUCGAGAUAUUGCAUUGACCUCUGCAGCCCACAUCCCAAGAUUACCUUGACAUCUGCUGGGUGGGUUUCAAAAAGCUAAUUAAUCCCUGCUGACCUGAAGUUUGGCUGUGCGAUCUAAAAAGAAGCUCCAGUCUGGGGGUAAAGACCGGCUGUAGGUCAGCCAGCAGCUCCUGUAAGAACUCGGAAAAUGAAGCUUUAACUCUGACAGCUGUUUGCAAAUUUAAUUUAUUCAAUUUAUUUAUUCAAAGUCGGCGAUUUGAGCGAGUGAAAACCCACAACUCCGGCUUCACAUCGCUGACUGUGACUUUUUUUAUGGCCUCUUUCAGCCCACUGAGCGCCACAAACAGUUCCAACCAUAAGGCCACAUUAAUAUUCAUGAGGAGUGUUACGCAAGAAAAGGAGAAAUUAUCGAAUAAAUAGCAAAAAACAUUUGGCAAUGUCACCCCCCUCCUCAGGAAAAAUAAAAGUGCUAUAGGUUCUCUUGAGCCUGUGAUUUUUCUUCCGUGACGUCUGUUAUUGUUAGAGCCUAAAAAAAACGAUAUCAAAGGCCUCGAUGAUGUUUCCCAGAGUCCUCGGGAGGGAGGUGAUCUGCCCCUGUGGAAGUAAAGCGACUGCAGGUUCAGGAAAGAGGGAAUUCUUAAAGAUAUUUGCAAAUUUAUUGCUCCAGUUUUAGAGCAGGUGAAGAGAGCCUUGGGCAAAAUUAGGUUUAUCUGAGCGAUGUUUGUGCGGCAGUCUGAGGGGACCGGAUAACCCUUUCCGUUUGUCAUCGCACAGACGAGUGUGCUCAGCUGCUGCGCCCAGGGAAAUUACCAGGUUGUUGUCUACAUACAAAAUCCACCUUUGAAAUGGGAUGGGCCUGAGGCAAACAUGUCAGACUGCUUUUUUUGGGGGGUAGGGAUGGAGGAAAAUCUGGUGUUCGGAGCCAGUGAAGGUCAGACUAGGUGCAAAUAUGAAUGUGAGUCCUGAAACCUUUGCUCCACUUUCAUGUAAACAGUCUUGUUCACGUUGGAAAGUUUAAGCAUUAAAACAGAUGAAAACAAACUACAUGAGAGAGGAUUUGAGCUUGAAUGGAGGUCUCAUAGGCUACAUUCACACUGCAGAUUUUCGGAUUUUUUGUUAAAUUCAAUCUUUUUGUGCGGUCGUUCACAUUACAACAACGAAUUCGGCAUCUAAUGUGAACAGAAUGCGUCCGUGAAGUGACCCGCAUGCGCACAAAUCAUGUUGGCUGACUGUUCUCUGUUCCCUUGUCCGCCACUGCUUUCCACGGCUGUUUGUGUUGUUGAACAAUGAUGACGUUUGUCGCAUAUUGAUGACGUAUAGGUCGGAUGAACGCGACCUGAGCGUCCACUCUACAGUCACAUCGGAUACAUAUCCGAUUUUAUAUCCACAUACAAAAGAGGCCUGGGUCGGAUUUGUAAAAAUCAGAAUUGCACUGUUUACACUUACAUUAAAAAAUAAGAUAUGUCACAUAUGGUUAAAAAAUCGGAAUUGACCUGCAGAGUGAACAUAGCCAAAGAUUUCAAGCAAGCGAUAUACACUCACCGGCCACUUUAUUAGGUACACCAUGCUAGUAACGGGUUUGACCCCCUUUUGCCUUCAGAACUGCCUCAAUUCUUCGUGGCAUAGAUUCAACAAGGUGCUGGAAGCAUUCCUCAGAGACCUUGGUCCAUAUUGACAUGAUGGCAUCACACAGUUGCCGCAGAUUUGUCGGCUGUACAUCCAUGAUGCGAAUCUCCCGUUCCACCACAUCCCAAAGAUGCUCUAUUGGAUUGAGAUCUGGUGACUGUGGAGGCCAUUUGAGUACAGUGAACUCAUUGUCAUGUUCAAGAAACCAGUCUGAGAUGAUUCCAGCUUUAUGACAUGGCGCAUUAUCCUGCUGAAAGUAGCCAUCAGAAGUCGGGUACAUUGUGGUCAUAAAGGGAUGGACAUGGUCAGCAACAAUACUCAGGUAGGCUGUGGCGUUGCAACGAUGCUCAAUUGGUACCAAGGGGCCCAAAGAGUGCCAAGAAAAUAUUCCCCACACCAUGACACCACCACCACCAGCCUGAACCGUUGAUACAAGGCAGGAUGGAUCCAUGCUUUCAUGUUGUUGACGCCAAAUUCUGACCCUACCAUCCGAAUGUCGCAGCAGAAAUCGAGACUCAUCAGACCAGGAAACGUUUUUCCAAUCUUCUAUUGUCCAAUUUCGAUGAGCUUGUGCAAAUUGUAGCCUCAGUUUCCUGUUCUUAGCUGAAAGGAGUGGCACCCGGCGUGGUCUUCUGCUGCUGUAGCCCAUCUGCCUCAAAGUUCGACGUACUGUGCGUUCAGAGAUGCUCUUCUGCCUACCUUGGUUGUAACGGGUGGUUAUUUGAGUCACUGUUGCCUUUCUAUCAGCUCGAACCAGUCUGGCCAUUCUCCUCUGACCUCUGGCAUCAACAAGGCAUUUCCGCCCACAGAGCUGCCGCUCACUGGAUAUUUUUUCUUUUUCGGACCAUUCUCUGUAAACCCUAGAGAUGGUUGUGCGUGAAAAUCCCAGUAGAUCAGCAGUUUCUGAAAUACUCAGACCAGCCCUUCUGGCACCAACAACCAUGCCACGUUCAAAGUCACUCAAAUCACCUUUCUUCCCCAUACUGAUGCUCGGUUUGAACUGCAGGAGAUUGUCUUGACCAUGUCUACAUGCCUAAAUGCACUAAGUUGCCGCCAUGUGAUUGGCUGAUUAGAAAUUAAGUGUUAACGAGCAGUUGGACAGGUGUACCUAAUAAAGUGGCCGGUGAGUGUAUGUCUCAAUUUAGAAACCUGCUCAGAACAGUAAAGCUCGUUAAAACUCCUGUGAGGAGUGUGUGUCAUCUUUGGCGCCCCCUAUGGACCAAUCAGUCCUUGUUUAUCCUGGCUUCUACAGACCGAAGUACAACCUAUCGACAAAGAAUCUCAUCCUACAGACUUUUGACUGUCGUAUGUAAAAUGUAUAAGGAACAUUUUAGCUGAAACUAAAAGAACAGCGCGGUUGCUUCAGCUGCUCGCCUACCCAUCACCUACCCCCUCGCAUUGGUUUCAGGUGUUAAAAAUUAAAGUCAGUCUUGAUGAUCAUAAAAAAUAAUCAGUAUGAAUUCCAGUAGAUUUUAUAAACAUCAAAAACUCCACUGAAGCUUUAAGAUCAAGUAUUUUAGCUGCCUUCAAUGUUCAAGUCAUUUUAAUAUAAGGUAAUGAGAUAAGUUUGCAUCACUCAGAGAAAAACACAACGUUUAAGAGUCUUGUCAACUUUUUACUGUAGGUUUAAAUUAGACUAACAAUUCAGUUUAUCCGUUAACACGCUUUCUUUCUCACUGCAGACUGACUUGGAUGCCAAAAAGGGACAUGUAAUUUAAUCACUGCUGUAUAGAGCUUCUUUACUAAAUACCACUUUAAUUAUAUAUGUGUUAGAGAUGUUGACUAUCAAUCAGCAUCAAUUAAGUUUUUCAACUUUUGAGUUUUCUCUUAGGCAGGGAUACACAACAUGUGUGUGUUUAUUUAGUUAAAGCAGUUUACAAUGUAAUCCAUACAUUUUUACAGUGUUAUUUAAAUAUAUGUAAUUAUACAACCUGUACAUUUUUCAUAUCAGAUAAUUAAAAAAAAAUCUGCAUUUCUUGGAAUAGUAAUGAAAAAAUCUUGCGUGUCCUCCCCUUUAUUUUAACCCCGGUGUUUUGUUUUUUUUCUCACUGAUUCGUCUCGUUAAGUUUGCUCUUGCACUCUUUCAAAUCUUUAUUUGUGCUUUAAUUGAAGUGGUUGUUUUAAAGCCUCUUUUAUGACACUCAUUAAAGGCAAACACCAUCACUGUAGGGCAUUAACUUCUCUCUUAGAAGUGCGAUUACACACACAGUGGGCGCAAAAGGGUUCAAAUGAGGAAAAGGUCGUGAUCAGUGUUUGACAUGGAGGAGCGAUUACUGUUUACAUGGAUUUUAGCCUCGUGUUGGGGACACACUAUUUUCCCUCAUUACUCCUGCACAUUUGCACUGGCUGUAAACUUCUUUUAUACACAUUUUAGUCUUUUUGGGCCUGAGUGACCCCACACAACAGAUAAAGAUUUCACAGUUUUGUUCUUACGUGGUACAUCCAUCGUGGAAACAACUCUUCUUUUCAGUUUGUAGCGGCAGGUUUUACAGACGAUCCAUUUCUGAAGUUAAACUAAGUUAAACAUGGUUAUGGUGCAUUCCAGUUGUACUUCGAAGUCAGGAUUUCCAAGUUCUGAGUUGGAGUUUUCAACUGGAAUGACACCCGAGGUCCGAUUUCCGAUUUGGAAAGUUGGACGACAUUUAUAGGUGUCUACGCUGGUUGUAACCAGUAAGUAGAAGCUCCUCUAAUGAGAAAAAAUAGGCUACCUUUGUGCCUUUCUGUUUCCUCUUCAUCCACCGUGUUUUUAGGUUGCAGAAGAACCACUCAUUUGUCCGGAAGUUGUUUAUAUUUGGACAAGGCAAGGGCAAGAAUAACUUUCGUAGAUGUAGCCAUCUUGUUUCAGCUUCCGUUUUUGGCCAUUUGCUACUUUUUUUCUGAUUUUGUAACUGAAAGGCAGAUAAGUCAGUGCAACGUUAUCCCCAGCUCCAACUUCCGACGUGAAUGGAACCACCAUUGAAUGGUGGCGAAUGGAAUCGCACCAUUAAUGAUGGUUGCGGUUGUUGUUGUUGUCCGGGGCAGCUCCGGUUUUGAUUGGCUAACCACUUCAAAAAGUCAGAGGCAGGUAGAGCACAGGAAAAGCUGAGGCAGGAAGAGCAUCAGCAAAGACCCCAUCAUUUUAUUCUUCUCUUAAAGGAACAGUUAAACCAAAAUGAGGCUUGGUCCUAUAUGGGUGCAAAACUCUACGAUCAAUUGGCAAUCAUGAACAUCCAUAAACUCACACAUUUCUAUGAUUCAUAGAGUUCAUGAAUCCAGAGUUGUUGUUUAGCGCCAAUGAUAAGGUGACCAUAAGUCCUCUUUUACCCGGACAUGUCCUCUUUUUUGGGGGGCUGUCCGGCUUUGUCCAGGAAGUUUAUAAGAUCCACCAAAUGUCUGCAGUUUUGUACAUAAGUUUCGAUUUUGUGUCACGUAGACUUACUGAGUUAGAAGCGCAUAAAAGACAAUCAAUCCGACCCCAAAAAAUCUCAAAAUUAACUUUGUGCGACUCCGUGACUCCGCCCCUGCGUACUUGUGUCCUCUUUUUUGGAAAGUCAGAAUAUGGUCACCCCAGCCAAUGAUGUUUAUUAAAAUUAACAUUGAAGUUUACAAAGUUUCAUGAAUGAGACCAGACUCAACUCUACCUCAACUAGGCAUCUGCUUUCUAGUCCCACAUGACUUCCUGACAUCCUGCAGAAAUAUGUCUGAAUAAAUCUCUGUCUCAUUUUUACAGAAAGAUAAGAGGUUAAUUUCCCAGUUUGUAGUUUGUUAUUUGAUCUGUUAACCUAAAAAUACUCUUAAUUAUCAGGUACAGAAAUCAACCCGAUGAUCUUGCUGUGUGUACUCUCCCUUCAUGGUUAAUUCAUGCACCCUUUGUGGAGAGCCUGUUUUUUUUUUUUUGACCAUCCUUCCUCGUCUAUCCACCAUCCUAUGACCGACAAGUAUGAAUAGAUCAAAUCUUUAAAAUAUGGUAGAUAUCUUAUUAAUGCGAUUAAUCAUCGACUCUCAAACAAGCUCUUUCUCUUCCUUCUCUGAAUAUGAAACCUGUCUCUCACUGCUCCACCUCAUUCUCUUCCACCUCAACACCUUCCCGGUCCCUUUUCCCCCCAUGAACUUUUGAGAAUUUCGUCUUCUGCUCUGCGGUCUCCUGAGAGCAGCCACAGCACUUGCUCAUUCCCUAUCUUUAGUUUUUCUCACCUCACACCAAGUCACAACUGAUAUCACCUGUCCUCCUGGUCAUGAAUCUACUCCGGCUCCCAGAGGAGAAGACUGAGGGAGAGCAAGACUUUAAAAUUGCAUUGUGGGGAUGACUCAUACGGCUCAGGAGAUACAGUGUGUUGUACGUCAUGUGUGCUGCAUUGCACCUGUAUGAAACAGCCAAGCAGAAGCUGUAUUUUAAAGGUGUCCGACAGUUAUACCAUGAGGCCUGAAUUUCACCGUUGCACAGAUGGAUGGGACUGCAUCGACUAAUCCACGUCUGAUGUCCUCCAGAGUAAUUGCACUUUAAAGGGGAAUAAAAAUCUACCUGAUGACUCGUUUGACGAUUGCGCAGUCCUAAAAGUCGGAGUGGCUUUUUCCUAUCAAUAAUGAUAGUCUGUUGUCGUCUCUGCUCUUGUUCUGUGCAGGUGUAAUCACUCCGUGCCUCCAAAAUAAAGUCUGAAGACGAAGAGGAUGAGAGUUUCAAAUACUAAAAGAAAACAAAGAUUGCAGUCUGCUUCUGUUUGCCCCCCCUGAAGCUCUGUUUGUUAUCACUCUGCUCAUGAAACAAACAGCUGUGUAUGAGGUUAAUGUCUCAUGAAAAGUAUUGGUUUCAGCGUUUCUUAUAAUCCUUGAUCUGAUUUUAUGGAUGAGCCGAUUCAUGUACAUUAAAUUAGAAAGAGGCCAAAGGAGUGUCCUCUAGUCCGUGCAGAAAUCUAUCAGCUGUAAAUGUACCAUGGUGACGCUUCGGAUGGUAACAAAGCUGAACGCAGCAGGCCGUCUAAUAAUAACAGAGAUUUCAUUAAGAGGACAAAUCUUAACCGGGCAGUGGUGUCAUAUUCACGCUCUAUAUGUUACGGAACUAAAGCUAGGAUUACAACUGGUGUCUACUGAACUGUGCAACUACAGUGCCGAUCAAUCAAUCAAUCUUUAUUUAUACAGUGCUGAUUGACAACAAGUGCUAUCCCGAGACUAUUAACAGUGACAAGCUGGUCUAGACUAAUCUCUAUUUACAAAGACCAGGUGUAAAGAUGGGAUAAGACUGAGCCCCAUCUUUGAUCAGACCCACUCCAAUCCCAUCUUUAUCCACACGAGUUAAAACACUUUGCGGCAUUAAGAGAGUUACGGUCAUUAAAAUGCAAAAUAUUCAGCUUACGCCUUUCCUAUACACACCUGGUGUGACACGAAUAAAAUUUGUAUAUUGAGGGAGAGAGAAGAAAGAGAAAUAAUGUCAACUACAUCCUCAAGAGAUGAUGACCCGGUCAUGGUUGUAUUCCUAUUAAAGGUGGAGUAGGCAGGAAUCUGUUAAAGAAGCAUCUUUUUUUGUGGUGUACAUACAAAAAUAGGCUUUUAAUAUCAGUCAAUAGUUAUUAGUUAUUGAUGACCUUUGGGAAUAUAAUGAUAUCGCUGUGUUUUGUUAUGUCUUUUUAGUCAACAUUUUAAAUUUUUUGAGCGCUCCGCUCUUUCUGACUGUAAACAAAGCCAUUCCCCGCCCCCCUCAUCCUGAUUGGCCGCUCCCCUGUGUCGUUCAGGAGCCCAAACAAAGUUAGCGUGCUACAAUAUCAGACAGUAGAAACCAACCAGAAAGUUCGGAAAAUUGUCUGAAUCCUCCUUUGGCCACGACUGCCGACACAAGUAAGAAAACAAAGUAAAUACCGGAGACUCUGGUGGAAUAACGGGCGCUUAAAACUGAGGUAGACCGGACAAGAGCUAAAAAGCCGUGUCAACAAUGAUCGGGGGUGCAACCUUUCUGCUGGACAGGUAAACCACUUUAACAACCUGCUGCGUGUUAUAGCAUCGCUAAACUGUUGACCUCGGGUCCUGGGCUAUGUCACUUUAUCCUCUUUGUAGAAGUCCUGCAAACAUUGUGUUUGCUGGUAGUCUGUUGGCAUCUACAGUAGCACCAAUGCUGUUGACUUUCACCCUGACUGGGCCCCAUUUGUAAUUAUCUGAAGUAUUUAUCUGCAUUAUAUAUGAAUUUAAUUGGAACGAUACAAGCAAGCAGGAGCGUCUGUUUGUGGGCGGGGCUUGCUGGAGCAGAGAGGGAGGGGAGAGGAGGAGCUGAGGGUAAAACUGGUUGUGAGGGGCACUUCCUCAGAUCCUGACUACCCCAACUUUAACUCAAGCGAUGAAGCUGCAACUCCGUCCACCACUGAUUUUUAAUGGUACAAUAUAUAUAAUAUAUAAUAUAUACAUAGAAAUACACGUUAGAGAUUUAGCUGAGAUUUCAGGAAAUACAUAAUCUCCCUGGGAGAUCAUGAACAGGCAGAAGAGCUGCAGUGAUGUUCCAAUCACGGGGGGUGUGACACACUCACAUGGUACAUGGUUUCCUGAUUAAAUUGUGAUAUCUUCAUUCACGGGCACGGACCAGAACAUGACAUGCCAAAUUGAAUAUAAAAAAAAAGGCAAAAGGGAGAAGAAAAGUCUCGCAUCAGAUUUCUGUUUCCAUGACAAUUUGUGUAUGUGAGUAGUGGGUCACCAGGCAGAAAUGGUCCGACAUUAAUUUUACAGAGCUGGGUAAAGGCUCAGCAUCUUUCCUCUUAUUAAUUCUGCUGUGCAAAAAGGGAAAAGGUGAGCGUCUUUGCCAGGGGAGUGUAAAAUAAAGGAAGUGACAUUUAAAUUAGAGCAUUGAUAUACUCCAUCCCCAGAUUGCUUCCCUGCAGGUUACCUUGAUGAGGCUACAGUGUCACGACACACGGCGAGGGUAAUGUCCCUGGCCUUGCUUGUACACUGCACGCUCCGCUGCACAAAUAGACCACCGCGGCACACCUCUUAAAAGUCAGCGUGCACCCGAGUGUGUAAUGAUGCCAGGAGUGUGAGGCACUUUACAACCCACCCUUACCUUCACCCACAACUGAGAUUAAUUGCACUUGAUUGAGUAUAUCAGAUGUGCUUCUGUUUCCUGCCUCCUCAUUUGGAACCCCCCCAGAAUUUAUUAAGAGACCUCUACCUUCCUGAUAUAUCUCAGGCCGUUAUCAGAGUAAGGUCUAAUUAAGCUCCAUUUCCAGGGGGUUAUCUCCUCACUCCUUCUCUGAUCUUCGACCCACAGGCCGGAUGAAAAAAGAAAAAUCUAUUGAUGUGUUGACACGUCGUCUACUGUGUCUGACAUCGAUAGAUUGCAGAGAGUUGAUGGAAGGAGCACCGACUCACCUAUCCGGGCAUCCUAUCCACUUGCAACUCGCUCUGCAUGUUUGCAUUUGAGUCAUGCAUUUGCGCAAUUAAGGCUACAUCUUCUCCCAACAGAUGUUCUAUCAAAAUAACGUUAAGUGCUUUUAAAUGGCUGUUUAGAGUGUUUUCGUUUGUUUGGACUCAGGUGAGCGUACUGUAUUAUGCAAAUCACCAGCGCUCUCACCAUCAGCUUGUUGAAUUAAACGCCGAAAGCAGCGCUGAUCACAGUUUGAAGCCCUUUGAGCUCAUAUAUCAUCCAAUGGUGUCAUCUAAUGUGUCAAAUGUCACUACCCUGACACAAAUAAAUAACACGCAAUCAUGUUUUUGUGAUGAAAUUCGUGCAAUCCAAUACAUUUCAAAGCCAACAGUUCCUAAAUCUUAAACGACAAGUUGACUGAUGAGUUUGGUGAAAAUAGGUCAGGUUAGAUGAUUGAAAAAGGAGCCAAGUGGACAGAUUCAUUUAAACUGCAUUUGGGGCAAAAUAGCCAAAAACAAAUUGACUGUUUUUUUUUUCUGCAAUCUCCGUCAAUAAGUCAAAAUAAAAGCUAUCAGUGUUGCAAUGUCACCUUCCAGGCAGACGUUAGAGGAGGACUUUGAAACUUGAAGCAUGGACCUGCUUUGACUUGAAAAAUCUGAAACCAUUUCUUCCUUCUAGUCAAACAUUUUGUGAGUUUUUUCUUCAGCUACAAACUUCCUCAGAGGAGUCGUAUAAUAUUGCAUCGUCUCUUAGCAAAGGUGCAAAAUAUUUGACUGUAUUCUGUAGGGCACCUUCGUCGUGUUGCAACAGUGGAGGAAGCUUCUGGGAAGCCGAACUAAAAGCACUUUCAACACAGGCUGAUCUUAAGGUCCUUACACACCGGGAACAACGCAUAUAUAUACAAAGCGCAAUUACGAAAUAUUUGGAGGCGAAUUUCAGUGCGCCUGACUACACAUCAAGCACGAUGCGAUUUUGCGACUUUCCGGGGGGGAAAGAAGACGCGUCCUGCGUGGAAGCGAGAAGAGUGACACUGUUUUUCAGUUCUGAUUAGACACUCGUGUUGAGAUGUCUGUCUCACUCUUUUCUCCGACAUGUAAACAAUCAGCCGGUCGGCCAUGUUGGAUAUACCGGUGAAUCUGACUUCGCAACAACAUGAAAUCUGAUUGGUUAGAAGUGGACACACAGUAUGCGAAAAUUUAACCGUGAUACGAGAAAAUAAAUGCCACAAUAUCGCAGGACGGGAAAACGUCGCUGAUGUGAACACUUGUAUUGACAGGAUACAGGUUCUGAAAAAAAAAUCGAUGUCCAAAAUUAUCGCACAAAAAAAGCGCUCCCGGUGUGUAAGGACCUUUAGCGUGCAAAAUAUUUUGACUGUAUUCUGUAGGGCAGAGUUUGAGUCAAGUUCAAGUUCAAGUUCAAGUUUCUUUAAUCGCAUGGACUUACUGAGUUAGGAGCAAAAAAAAAAAAAAAACCUCAAUCCGACCCAAAAAAACCUCAAAUUAACCACAUGCGACUCCGUGACUCUGCCCCAACGUAGUUGUGUCCUCUUUUGGGGGAUUCAGAAUAUGGUCAUUCUAAUAUUACUGGAAUUAAUUAAUCGCAAUUAACGCACUGACAUCCCGGCCCUAAUUUAUAAAGAUAUUAACAAACCUGUAUUUGCACCUGUGGAAAAGAAAAUGUAACAAAUUACACGAUUGAUUAAAAGUAACAAUAAAGGGUUUUUUCUUUUUCUAAACCUGUUGACACUUUUAUCACGAUUAUGUUUGUAUGUCUUUACAGCUUGAUCUAAAAGCAGAAUUCCUCCAUGCGAUCGAGAGUAAACCUGUUACAUGCUGUGAGGGUGUUUGUGUGGGUGAGGCGCAGGUUAAGGAUCACAGCUGCAUCAAGACAGAGCUUCCUCUCCACUUUCUUACCAACUCCUACUUAAAUGUCAUCCUCCAUCCCUCCCAUUAGCACUCAUUUCUUUUUUUUUCCCUCUCCCCUCCUCCGCUCGCUCUCGCUCUCCGACCUGACUGACUGACUGACAGCUGGCUGUGUGCUCUCACUUCACUCCAGGUGGUCCAGGAGACAGGUGACCUGUCUGCUGAGAGCCCCCCGCCUGUGGACCUGUGAUUUUACAGGAACACCCCUCAGGGCCAAAAGGGUAAAAAAGUAUGUCCUUCAAAGUGCAUGACAGGAAAAAAAAAAAAGAGAGGAAACAGAAGAUAAGGAAGAAGCUCUUUCUCUCUCACCUAUCAGAGAUGCAGCAGUCUGAUAGGAGAUACACCUGAUUGGUCCGGAAAAGCGAGCUAAUAAAAUCACACAGCCGCUCUUUGUGUUUUGAGCAUGAUACCCUGCUGCUGCUGCAAGAAUAAAUCAAUAAAUAAGUACAAGGCUCAAUAAGUAAAAUUUGAUCGGCUGACAAGAUGACAAGAAGAACAAAGCAACAUGCUUUUGCUCCUUGAGCAAUUUGUAAAUAAUGAAAUCAACUCCAAUUUGAGGUCUGAAUUAUUCCUGCUGGAGUACGACGAUUUCUGCAGCUUGAAUUGAUUCUUCUGUCUCCAACCAUGAGGCGUUCAUAAAUUCUGCAUAGAAAAACUCUUAUAUGAAUAUGUAAAGAGCAGCCCAUUAAAAAAACAUUAGAUAUAUAUUAAAACAAUGAGAAGCUGGUACUUCAUUUGUUCAUAAGGUCGCAGACAGAAUCAAAUAUCCUCACUCGGUAAUAAACAAGGCAUAAUAGAUUAAAUCAAAGCUUCAUUUCAUUAAAACAUUUCAUUUUGUACAUGCAGGAUUUACACGCAUGAAUUCUGAUCAAUACCUCUGCAGCAUCUUUUACAGUCUGUUCAUAAAACGAUGCUUAUUUGCUGACAGUUAGCCACAGGCACAUCCAUCAGAUGAAGCCAUUGUUGGGCUCUAUUUAUAGUCAUGUUCGAUGUGCUCGCUGCACUGUCAGUCCGAUCCCGAGAGAAAUGCCGCGGAAGUUUCUCCUGUCCUCACGGGGGGACAGAUGCCAGCUGGAUAGAUGUGCUCACUUGCAGCUGUAUGCAACAGCAUCUCCCAUUUAGACCCCAGAACUGAUGAUGAGGUGCAUUUAGAGGGAGGUGAUUCUCAGUUCGCAGCCUUAGAUGGAUGUUCGCUGUUCCCCUCCGACGUCACCCAAAACCACCUUUGUGAUGAAUUAUUCAGGUUUACAUACAAACCCACUAUGAGGAAAAUGCAUUUGCAUGUAGGCAGGAGUGGCUUGGGCAGGUAGUGUUUUACAGCAGGGGAUGGAGGCUAAGGGUCAGAGGAAGCCUUUUUAGGACCCUAACACCAAACUGCAGAAAUCUGGAUGGUUUGGACGUCUUUAUUUACCAAAGUUGCACAUUUGCAUUUUCACACUUGUAAUAGUAAAUAGAAUAUAGAAAGUACCCCACUCAGUAUGUUUAAGCUUUAUCUGCUGAGUUUGGUCAGCAACAGGUGAUCACAGCUACGAAUUAAGACCUUCAGUGUGUAAAAGGUAGUUCUCAGUCUUAUUUUUUAUCCACCUUAAAAUCUGGAACAUAAAUUGCACUGGUGUAUAAAGUGGUAAAAGGUCCAAACUGUCUACUUAGAACAGGAUUUCCUCUGCUUUUAAGAAAGUCAGCAAUGUCCGGUUUCUGUGCAACUGUGAAGCUCUUUCUUGAUUCAUCGAGCUUCACGGCGACCCCCUCUGUUGGUCAUUUGUUGUCUAAAAGUGAGGAGUCUUUUCAAUCAAACAGCACAGCAAGAUAGGGAAGUGAUAAGAUAGAGUGACCAUGUUCUGAAUCCCCAAAAAGAGGACACUGUUACACGGGGUGGAGUUGUGGAGUAGAGUGUAGUAAAUUUAGGGGGUUUCUCAGGUUGGGUCGAGUGUUUUUAAUGUGCUUCUAACUCAGUUAGUCCACGCUACACAAACUUGAACUUCCAAACAAAACCCCGGAUAUUUGAAGGAUUUGAAGAUUGGAUUGAAGGACAGACAGCCCCCAGAAAGGAGAACAUGUCCGGGUAAAAGAGACGUAUGGUCACCCCAGAUAAGAGGGAGAUGAUAAGAGGAAAUGCAUGCAUCAAAGUGGGCACCUCUACCUCCAAGUGCCGUCCUCUGGAUUUCUAUAUCAGAGCACAAUACAAAAUACCUUUAUCUGCAUGUUUAAUGGUCGCAUCUUCCAUAGGAAACUGUUGCAUGCUAUAAGGUUACAUGGUCACUUUUAUUUUAACAUCAAGAUGACUGCGAGGCCAGUGUUAGCAUAAUUAGUAUAGCAUGUUGCACACUUCCAAAACUGAGAGCUGCCUCGUGUCGUAAGAAGGCGUCCCAACCAUAGACUGUAUAUACAAUGGACAACUUGGCUCCGCCUUCCAUCAUUGUACAAAUUUGAAGCUGAAUUACUCUCAGUAUUUCCAGGAAUUUCUCCACUUCCUGAAACCACCAUUGGCGCUGUAGCGUUGUACGCAUUUGGUGGGAGAGUCGCUGUGAUGACGCUCUGCUCAAAACGCGUAUCCUCCGGGUGAGCUACACGAUCUUCGUACACCCAUAAAAUUUGGAGGAGGGGGGAUUUAUAACCUAUACUGCAGCCUGUCACCAGAGGGUGCUGUUCUCGCGAUGGCUUCACCCAGCUAGGAGGCAGACGGCGUCCAUUCUAUAUACCCUCUAUGUUCCCAACUCUUACAAAAGGAGGAGGCCGGCGAACAUCACGUGCAGCUCAAACUUUUUCUUUCUUUCUUCUGUUUUAAUCUUCAUAUCAUGUCUUCCAAAAAAAGCUGUGCUGUCGUUGACACCUGGGAAAGUUUCAUUUUGUUGAUCUCAUGAUACCUGCAGGUUCAGUGACGGCUGAGAGACAGACUUUGAAGAAAGCGGAGAACUCUCAUAAAAAUGUCUUUCAGCGUACUCUGAAAGCCGGCAAGUUGGAGGAGCAGAGGUGAACUUCGCUAUUUCGUAGGCUAAUCAUUUUGUUUGUAUUAAGCUCCAAUUUUCUAAUUGCAGUCUGUGAUCUUAGAGUAGUCAAGGAUGAAGCUUCAUGGUGUCACAGACAAGGUGGGGGAAAAUUGAACUGGACAUGUUUGUCAAAACCUUCAAAGUUCUUUGUAGAGAGGAUGGAUCCUUUUUACUGAGAAAUCAAAACUGUUAAAGGACUGUGUGGUUAAAGCCAGUUAUUUCCCAGAUUUAUUGAAUAUGCAGUUAGACAAAUAAAGACGGGAAAUUAAAUCUUUUUUUAGUCUUCACUUUAUGGCUGUGGAGGGUUAAGUUGGUCCGAGAGGGACUGAAAAAUAAGCCGAGUACUUUUGUGAGUAAAACACGAAUAACAGAAAUUAUGGCUGCUUUUGUACACUCCUUUUAAUGAGCAUCAAACGUUAAACCAAAUGAGAUGAAAGUAAACUUGACAGACCUCAUCGUGUCGCAAUGCUGUGUGAAAUUAUAACACUGAGCAUAAAUCAAGACAGUUUCUCUGUGGACUUAUAAUUGCUAUUUCACUUUCACAACUUUGAAAAACUCCUUUUAGAGCCAUCUGUUUGGUAUCUGACAACUCUGAUUUAAUAUAAAAAAAACCAAAAAAAACAUUUACAGCCGUCACCCCCUGGCACAGUAAUAUCCUCAACACAUGAAACAAUAGCCGCAGACUUCACGACUGUUCUAUCUAGUGUUGCAGCAAAGGUUUCAUUGUAGAAUCUUGUCACAUUAAAUUGGACUUGUGUCUGAUGUACAGUGCAUAAUUACUUUUCUCCACAGGGUACAGAUCUUUACAGACUCUUGUUGGGUUUUCCAACUUCUUUACUCAGUCUACAUGGUUCUCAGAUGUUGCUCUUGUGAAAGGUAAAAGGUCAACAUCAGAGUAUAAUGAGAUUUAAGACACUGAGCAUAGUUUGCAGGGUACAUAUGAACAAUAAACUGAGUAGAAUGUAAAUCUUUAUAAGGUCCAAUCUAGACUUGAGGUUCAGCCCACAGCUAACAUGCCAUUUUGAUCUGGAAAUUAAAGCUAUAGUGUGUAAGAUCUACAUGUCUAAAUAUCCGUUUCACCCAUCUAGUACAAAAGGAGAUGGUAACGCUGAUUAAACCGUUGGACUCCUAUAACAACUCGUGGUUUUUUUCAGUAUUUUUUCUUUUUGUAUUUUUGUGUCAAGGGGCGACAAAAGGAAAUGAUGCCUUCUACUUAGUUUUACCUGACAACGAGAAGGGAGGGGGGAAGAGAGUGCGGCUAGGAGCAACUUGGCGGAGAACCAGAAGAAGAGACCAAGAGGUUCAGAAGUGGAUCCUACCAAAAAGAAAAAGCCUUCUCAUUCAGGAGAAGGUCUGUUGGCAAAGAAGGAGAGUGACAAACAGAGAAGGCUAACCCCCAAUAUCUAUUGCAUCUGGAAUGGCAAUGAAAAAGGCCGUAUCUGCCGAUCAUAGCUGAUCGUAACCAUUCAAGUUAAUGUGUCAAUUUCCACCGGCUUCUUUCCAUUCCACUGCGGAUCGCGGGACUCCGCAGCCAAUCGCAAGAGUUCUACUUUUUCUCGACACUGGAGCAUGUCGGAUAAACUCAGCACAGAUUAAUCCGUGCUGGAAAGGAAGCUGUACACAGACACAAAAUAAAACAUCUGGCUUGUUUCCGGCAGAUCGUAUUUCACACCAUGCAAACUGGCGGGGACGAACAAGUGAAAGGUUUAUAGACAGCAUUUUACCCCGUUGACACCAUAAAUGAGGAGAUGCAGAUUCUAGAAUUCUAGUUGUAGAUUUCCUCCUCUGGAAGAACACAAUCUACUGCUUAUAUGGUUAGCCUAUGCGGCUAAAGACAACUUGUUAUCGCGCAAUUGCACCUGAAUCCGUGGGUUCUUGUGAGUUCUUGCAAUUCCUGCUGUCCGUAAUUCGCUAUAAAAUCCGCCUCACAAACAGAUCCAGUAGGUAUUGGCGUACGGCGAAAAUUCCAGAUGCUGUGGAAAAUCCUGGGUAAUGCGGAUUUAUGUCGCUGUCGCUUUUCCUCGCUGGCCAUAUUGUUGUAAUAACACAGAAAUCCACUAGGGGCGACAGAAGUUACGCACUAUAGCUUUAAGACGUAUAAAUGUGCAGGUGAAAGACAAAACCUGAACAGAGGAAAUAGAGAAGACGAAUUAGAAAUGAACAUGCAGACAUACAGAGCUGUACAGUCGCCUCUAUUUCUACCAUUAAACGUACAAUCAGUUCAGCUCAACUGCAAAGAAGUCCAACUAACUGAAAGAAGGGAGGAAAUCAUAACAGAGGCAGACAUGCUUUUGUCAAUACAUUGAUUCCCACCUGGUGUUUGAGUGCUCGGGGAAAGGACAGUAAACAGUGUAAUCAAUAACUGUACCUCAGUUUGAAUGGCAGGGAUGCAAAUUCAAAGUAUUCUUCUUGCAACUGUGAAAAAUGUGCAUUUUUCUGCAACUUAACUGACAUGUCUAAAAGUGUUACAUGACUAUCGAACACAAAAAUGAGAAGCAUGUCCACAUUGUUGGUUGUUAGUUGAGAGCAAUACCAGGUCACGGUCAGUUCAGCUGCAGAAAACACACUCAGGAGGCUCUGAUGUUCGCAGAGAUGACCCAUUUUGCCCGUCUGUGAAAUCCCCUACAUUUGUAUCCCUGUAUUGUUUAAUGUCCUGGUAAAAAGUUGUUGAUCUCCCUUUUCAUAGCAGUGGCUGUUGUGUAUCGCUUCACAUAACGAGCUCAUGGAGACUAACCUCACACAUGGCUGCAGCCCCCGGCUGUGUGCGUCACUCUCAGCCAGUUGGUCACAUAGAAACGCACUUCAAACUCAUAACAGUGAGAGCUGAGUGUGAUAUAAGACCACAUGUCGAUUCUUCUCUACCUGAGUGGAUUAUGUUAUUUGUUUAUAUCAAGAUUGCAUAUGUUUGAAAAAAAAACAUCUAUAAUUUGAUGAAUUGAUUCUUGACUAGUCUUGGAUCUGAAAAUCCAAAGGAGGCCUUUUUCCUCCUACCUUCACCAAAGCCUUAAAAAAAGCGAUGGAUGAGCGGUUAAAAUGACAGGCUUGGUACAUCACUUUCAAAUGUCAGCUGUUGAGAGCGCCGCGAUACUGCUGUGAAAAAUAGCUGUAUUUCUUCGCUCAAAAAUCACAGAUGUUCAGUGAAAAUAAUGCUUUUACCUCUGACACAUUAAGACAAGCAUGUGUUUUUGCUCUGCUCUUUGUUUUUAAUAACACCUUUAAUGUAUUCUCCGCGCUGAGCGACUCGUCUUCAGUUGAGUCAGCGGAUAAGAAAAAGGCACAUACUGUAUAUAUAUAUCUAUAUCUGUAUUCCUCCGUUUGAGUCUCUAAGACGAAUCUCGGAGAGGAUUGUGUUCUUGCUGUGUGUGGCAAGUUCAGCCCUGAUGAAAUCCCUGUCAGCCGUGUCACCUUAUUCCCGGCCAACCCCACAAUCCCUUCGAAUUGUACGAAACACAAAGCCGUUAUGAAUUUGUCACCUCCCGCCACUUUAUCUUGGACUGCAGGCAGUCUUUUCCUCACAAAGCAGCGCCGUGACUGCACGCUGCGCUCAGCCAGGUUUUCCUUUCUGUCGCCUUUCUCCAAAAAGUAAAAGAGUGGUCUCAAUGUUAUCAGAAAAUUAUUCUGCGCAGGACAUAAGCCCCCUCGUAUCUUCGUAUGUUGAAAGCCACUUUUCUUCCCCGAGUCUUCGCCAUUUGGGUAAGCCCUCUUGCCCAAUUAGCCACCCUUAAGCCUUUGAACGCCAGGGACAAAAGGAACGAGGGACGUUAAACGGGCUGAUUACUCUGUUGUAAUUAUAUGACUUUCAAAGAGAAUACCCACAUCUCUUCUUUUUUGACUCCAACAGCAGACAAAGACAGAGCAGACAUGGAGGAUGGUCAUUUAAACAUGGAGCGGUCUGCUCCCGACUACAACCGCUCACAGACAUCAGGACAUAAUGAGCUGAAACCUAAGGACAUCACUGGACGCAUUUUGUUUCAUACACCCCAUUACCAUGUCCUUGUUUUUCACCGAUUCAAUUAAGGCUGCAGCGUUUUUCUGCACAUUGUGCCUCACUGCGUUUUAAUAUCUGCUACUUGGUGUCACAUAUGCAAAAGCAGGGCGAGUGGUAAACACAGCAGGGGAUUUACUGAUUACAGAAAACAAAAAAAAGAGAAAAUUCCAAAUUAUGUCUCUUCACAGUAAACAGUGAAGCCCACUCAAGCUGCCGUAACAUACUUGUGGGUCCUUGAGCAAAAUGCGCUGCAGGGCCCCCGAAAAAACACAACUGCCUGGUAAAUAUUUCUAUGUGAAUAUGCCUCAUUUUUGAUUUGCUGCAAAACAUUUCAAUCCUCACAAAAAUAUAGAUACAAAAACGAGGGUUUAGACAUGCACUCUCCAACUGAGCUAAACUGUCAACCUCAUCCUUACAAUGGCAACUCCGGUAGAAAUCAAUAUCACUUCGAGGGCCCUCUACUUUCUUUGUCACUGCAUCAUGUGAAGUUUUGACAGUAAGUUUUCAAGUGAUUCUGUUGUGUGAGCAAGUUAUGCUGGAUUACAUGAACUUUAAAGCUGUGCACUAAUGUCUAAAGUUCGGUUUACGUCAAACAAUGUCAACACUGUAACUGUGUCGACUUUUUUUCUGUCAGGGUUUUGUCUACUGCUUUAUCCAGUUGUGUUCGUGUUUCAGUCAGACUAAAAGCUCUCUGUAGCUCUCCAUCUCUGCUUCGUGUUCUUUUUGUUAAUAUUUCUGCAUGUAUCCUUGAAGUUUAUGGAUAUCGGCCAGAUAGUGAGGUACCACCGGAAACCAUGGGGGCAGUGUUGCCGCUGUUACAACCCGAUACACAUCUCUAGAGAGAAAUAAAAAAGACAAUGGCGUGGCUUUUUGAGGAUCGUCGUCAAUUUCUUUUACGGUACUACUCGGGUGAAGAAUUCUCCAUCCUCCAACUGCGACCUGACCGACCACCGCCUCCUCCAAUGCUUCCUCUGUUUCUAUGCAAAACAUACAUUACAUACGCUACUGCGCUGCGCUGGUUUCAGGAAAUGAAGAAAAAUCCCAGAAAUAGCGAGAGCUUUGGAAUCAUCACCAAAACAUCUGAGAGGCGCCGUGUGGAAGUAAAGACAAAUAUGGGCAGAACGUUGACUUUGUAUAAAACAGCUGUCUUACUCGUUAAAAAACGUCAAACCCACAUGAAGCAGAGGAGGCACCUCUGUAAGACAACGUAAGACUUAUGGCACAGCCGGUGCUAGCACCUCGAGGAGACGGGAAUCACUGACACAAAUGCGAAAUUUGGACAUUCAAAGUCGUUUUUUUAAAAAACCAACAGCCCUCCUAGCUCGACGUUCUGGCCCACGUUUGUUAUGGUUACCGAUCAGCUGUUAAACUGUUAGCUAGAAAACUACAGCAAAGUAUUUCAAGACUUUUUCCCUUCGCAAUCAUGCUACAAAUAGGACACGUCAAUCAACCAGUUUCUCCUCUUUUUCUUACAUAAAUCCAUAUAAAUCCGUCUGCAGUGCUUCAUCUGAGUCUUUGCCUUUUCCUUAGAUGUGUGGGUGUGUGUGGGUUUGUGUGUAGGAAGGGGAUUUAUUUUCUUUUUAAGGCAUUGACAAGUCAGUGAAUGUUUACAAUGUCAUAGAAAUUACAUAACCCUUGUGUUUUAGCACAAAAAUUUAAAUGUUUUUUUACAUAUUUUAUUGUUAAUUUAAUCCGCCAUGAGUAGCACAGAUUUAUCCUCACCUGCACAUCCAUAUCAAUCCAGUCGUUCACACAUCCUGAGCGUCCCAGAUGCGGCGAUGUUAGCAUCUCUAUCCGAGGCUUAGCUGAACACAUGGAUGAGCCAAAUGCCGAUGCGUAUGAUAUGUUAAAUGCCAGCUGUGGGAAGCUAGGCUCAGUCCAAACAGCUGCUCUCACACUCGUACUAAACUGUUUUUUCUUGAGGGUGUCAUGUGCAAUGUACAGUCCUCAGUAACUCUAAAUAAUGAGCGCGGAGGAAUGUCAGUAACACGGUACAAGACGUAGUUGAGACCUGGAGUUGGUGAGCUGAUAAAAACUGGUUUUAAGACAACAUAGAUAAUCCAAUUUUAAACUUUGUGACUGAUUUACACUUUAUAAUUUAAAAGUUCAUUUGAGAUAUCUUUCAUCAUAAUGGUACAAACAGAAGGUUGCUUUCAACUGUGCACCAUGAUGAUAGAGCAGAGAAGCAGCCUCCAUGAUGUCUAAUUGUAGUGAUUUGAAGCCCAUGUGGUGAUUUCCACUACAGAGCAAUGCCUGUUUUUGAUGCAGUGCUGCUCCAGAACCUGAAAAUCACAGCUAUCCACUGCUGGUUAAUGUUUUUUUUCUCUUUUGUACAGAUAUUUUCUGAAUAUUUUGCUGACAUUUUGUGCUCUAGUUGAUUAAAUCCAUAAAUUCUUGAACAUUACUCUGAAAUUAAAAGUUUUAUGCAUGCAUCCUUUCUAUUUGUUUUCAAUCAGAUUCAGACUUUAUAUGAUUUGCAAACAAUCAAACUCUUUUAUCAGGAUGUUAAAAAGUCUCCCAUCAUUUAUUAUUUAUCUUUCUUGGCUGAAUCCCUGGAAUAAAAUGACCCAAAGUCUAGUCACAGAUAUUCUUUCAACAGCUGCCAAUUUAAUUUCCAAUUUUGCUUUUGCAAAUUUAAUGAUUUUUUGUUUUGAUUUCAGAAGUUUGAGAACAGAUUCUAAAGAUAAGAAUGCUUUUACCUUUGGCACUUUACUAACAGAGCAUGAGAAAUUCAUCAGUUUGGACAAAAAAAAACUUAAAUAUUCUUUGUUAUGAUGCAGAAAUAACUUUUUUGAGCCACCUCUAGAAAUGAAAAAUUUCCAUUUGUGCUGCAAAAUAUUCACGUAGCAAAACCAGCUUUAAAUUUACGUUCGUUAAUCAUGUCAUAAAGCAUGAAUCAAAUUAAUGGACAUUUCUGGACAUUUCAGCAAACAGAUAAUAUGUAUUUGAAUAGUUGGUUCAGUAAGCCAGAUCUGCUGCUGGGAGCUAAAAGCGGGGAUGGUUGGAGUCUGAAUGUCACUUGUGAUGUCCUCACCUUCAGAGUGGUAUCAGCAGAAGGUAAUGUGUGCAGAGGGGACCAUCUGGCAGCGCUGACUGGGAGCCGUCAACUGCAGCUCAGGCCAAGUGACCUUGGCAGGGGCCGGACCUGGAGGAGGCGAGAUGGCACUAAUAUAACACUGGGACCCUGGAGAUCUGUUACACGGGGCACGCAUACAUUUUAACCAGGAGGAAAAAUAGACUUCAGCAACCGGAGUACAGGUGCAUCUGUAGAAACCUCUUGGACGAGAUCGAGGAGUGAAUGAAAUAAAAUUAAAAAUCAUCCUGCUGCUGAGGAGGCGCUCUUGUGUGUUUAAAGGUCAGAUUAAAUUUAAACGAUAUUGGCGUAAUGAAGAAGCUUGAGACUGAUGAAAUUUGAGCGAUCUCAGCUCUCGGUGGAUGUUACAGUUCAGACAGAAUCUUUUUUUUUUUUUUUUAGAAAUCCUGCUCAAAGAAUUUGCAGAUAUAGUUUCGUAGCUUUUAAGUGUCCAGAGGGCUUUUCAAAUAAACAUAUUUGUGCCAAGCAGGGGGGCCACGGCAAGGGUGAGUAUGAAAAUGAGAUUAUUUCAAAGUUUUGAACAUGAGGCUGAAUUUUCUUCAAAGACGAUCAGUAAAAAAAAAAAAAAAAGACUCGGAGGCGUGCAUCUGGCUCUCCAUGAAGCUGCAUAAUUUUUUGUUAGCAAACAGUCCAUGACUUUGCCCUACUAACUGUGGAUGUGUAAAUUCAAAGCCUUCAGUCACAUGUCUGAGGAAGUGUUCAAUUUCACCUUCCAAAAGCAGGGAUACAGAGUUUGCGUGACAUUUCUCUGACAGAACAAAGCCGUGCUGAAUCAUUUCUCAGAGCAAACAAUUUGCCGUUGUCUGCAGCAUCCAGUCAACUUGAACGAUCCCCGUGAUUCCCUGAAGGAAACACUCCAGCUGGAAUGGAGCAUUGUGUUUCAUGGGCUGUGUCCUAAUGACUGAUGACAUUUUCUCAGACACCUCCGAAGACGACCUCUAGCUAAUCUGGAACACAACUUAAAUGUUUAUCUCCGGCCUCAUCAUGAACGAUGUCACACACUGACCUUUAUUUUAAGGUUCCCUAUUUGCAAAGGUCUUUGUGUUGCAAGCAAGUACUCGAAAUAUUCAACAGAAGCAGAAAUAAUGAAAUAAUGUCAAGUGUAAUUCUGUUAGAGAGGAUAUCCAAUAUAAAUAUACAGUUCACAUACGCUGGUGUCUCAGUGUAAGUACAUUCACUGACUUUGUAGAAGUAGAAUAUAAUAUUUAUAAGCAUAUUUAAAUUCUGUAUUAUGACUGGAAUAGAUUAUUUUGAGCUUAUUGUAUCUUUCAUCACCAAGUUUUGACUCGGUUUGAGUCUCAUUAACAUAGAUUAUGAUGGUUUAUGUGUGUUAAUGUUUAUUUUCUUGGCAAAAAACAGACAAUAGUGAAUUAAAUGUGCUCUAACAAUGUCAAAAAUGUACGAAUUUAUAUUAAAUUUUCAAUAAAAAGACAAUGAUACAAAAUUGUUUGAUAUACCAGCCAAGUUCUGAAAAUUAGCUCAAACACCACUGUGCAGAAUAACACGUUUAGAGGCUACAACGUUUCUUAAUUUGGAGGUUUUAUUUCAUUUUGAUGUUUUAUUUCACUUUUUCAGUUCAGUUUCAAUACGUCUUUCACCCUGUUUUUUAUUUAAGUUGUUUUUUAUGUGCAAAAAAAAGGGGGUUUAUCUUAAUUUUGGUUUAUUUAUGGUACACUUCUCAAAUUCAAGAUAAAAAAAUGGCAAAUGUGCAGAAAAAAAUAACACCAUCCUAUUUAUGUAUUUGUCAAAGACUGGACUAAUUCUACUGAACCUUAGAAGUCUAUUAGACUGUCUUAGUUUAGACAGAAAUUCUCUCCUAAAUAAUAAAUCUAUAUUUAAUCCUGAAUCUAGAUGAUAGAAUUUAAUUCAUUAUUAUUAAAUAUUAAAUCAAAACUGUAAGUUGUGUAAAUAAUGGCCAAAUGUUGGGUUAAAUCAUUUUUUACAGUCAUUAAUCAAUGUACAGAGUAGUUUAGUCUAUGAGACAGCUAUAAAACUUUCAGACCAGUGGUAGACGUAAGGACCAUUAGACGUCUAUUAAACCCCUUUUAGACUGAAAUUUGCUCAGUGGGAAGCUGACAUUAUGUGUUAUAACAUCGGUUAAACAUAGAUGUUAUGUGGUGCGUGGGCUCACAUACUUCAUGCCACUCACUCCUGCUGAAGUUGAUGCCUUGGUCUGGCCAUCUCAGUCAAAACAUUCUGGACACACCCCUGCUGGUUCCUGUAAGAACGUUAUGUGACUUUGCUCAGCAGCAGGUGGAUCCUUGCAAAAGGAAGGGCUCUGUUAAUGGAGUAGAAGAGGCUGCAGUGAGAGACAAGUAUUUAUAUCCAUGUAGAUUUGAACUCCAGCUAAAUAAGGUCAUAGAGUUUCACAGAGGCGUGCAAGUAAACAUUAGUUGCAACUACAAAGAUAUUUUUUUCAUAAUCUAUCACAAAGAUGGCUGUAAGGGACCCAACAACCUUGAUGACAGAGUAAUUAAUGACAGCUUUACCUGUGAAGAAAACUGCUAUGAGUUCUUAUUAACUCUUAGAACUCUGCUGGAUCACAGGCGAUCCCACGUGUCACCAUUAAUAUUGUUUACAUUUUCUCAGGAACUAUACCGUAUAUCUCUAUGGGAUGAAUAGUGUUAAAAGUUUACCCUUUUGGCGAUCUAUCGAGGGUUUCCAGGCAUUUCUACACCUGUAACAAGGUUUACAAUCCAGCCACAAAAAUAGGUGUUUGAUCAGAGACGGUUGAUGGUAAAUCCACAGUGAUAUACCGGUGAAAACAGGAUUAUUUAUCAUAUUGUUGUGAUAAAAAAAAGAUUGCUAUCACUAAAUGCUGCUAAUGUCUUCCUGGUUUGACUAGCUGUUUUGAUGACGCCUUGUUCUGUCAAACGUUUGACCAAUUACAUGUUCUCAUAUUGUUCAUCUGUUGUUCCCUUGACAGUAGUGUCCAAUAAGAUGCAACCGAAGAUCAACAAGAGACAAGAAAGUUCCCUGCUUGUCUGCAAAAUAAGAAAUAAGGGUCCUCGAUGUUCAGAAACAAGCAAAGAAGAGAUCAUGAGCAGUAUGAUGUGGCCCUCUGUCUCAUCCAAGACAGGAACUGCUUCAAGGAGUGGCAGAAACAACUGUAAAUAGCAAAAAACGCCUGGAAGAAUUAGUGUAAAUAUAUAUAAUGUAUAAUAUAUAUAAUAGUUUCUGUUGUGUGUUUGUUUCAAUACCAAUAUUUCUUCUCCUGAUAGCUAAGACUUGAGAGAAUGAUGUGCAGGUGAGAAAAGGCUUGGUUACUGUAGAUUUAUGUGUUUUUGGCUAAAAUACUGUUGGUAUCAAUUUCCAUUUUUGUCUUUUGGUUGACUUUGAUGGUUCUGCAUCUACUGUCACAUUCAUUUUACUUAAUUUUUGCACCUAUAAACUGACAGCUUAGGGUGUCCUGAAAAAAAGAUAUGUAUAUAUUUGCUGUGCUUGAAAGGAAAGAGUUGCUACAUAGAUUUUUACAAAAAAAUAAAAAACAGACGGACCAAAACUGGCAAAAUACAGCUGGGAGUUUUAAGGGUUGAGUAUAUGACGCAAACUGCAACAUUUCCUGUGUGCAAAGUACACAAAUCACAAAUCAUUCUUGGUGCUGUACUGCAUGACUCAUCACCUGUAAAUGUAGGACAUCCAGCACUCCUUUUCAAAACUACAAACAAGUGAAGACAACAGAAAAAAAAUAGACGGUGAAGAACUUUCAUCAAAGCGCACAAACGUGACAACCGGGUGAUAUCUAAUCACGGAGCGCAGGGCUUCACCUUCCAGCACAGUGCUGACGUUACAUAAUGACAUUGUUCGCAGCGACAGCACGAUUGUAUUCACCUGAACAGCGCGGGCCUGUACCCUCAUUUCACAGACAUUAAAGGAAGACGAGCUCAUCCGUAAAGACAGCUGUCUCCGCCACCAAUUAGCAGACUGGCAUGUCAAGGUCAUUUACAUAUCUCUGUCAGAAUGCGAAUCACCGAUGGCCACUUCGCCUUAAAAAGUCAUUAACUUCACACAGGAUGCAAUUACAUCGGAUCAAUUUUGCUCCAGUCUCUGACAGCGAGUGUCUGCUGGUCCCCUGAAGGCCGAAGAUAGAUCUGACUGGGAGGCUAAUGGCUCCGGCGACUCCCGCACAGCAGUGGAGUGUUUACACUAGGACUCCCAGAAGGCCCACAAGCGAUUGUUUGACUGUUAAUCUCAAUGAAAAAGGUUAAUGUAGCGAUAUUUAAACCGAAGGUGACAAACAGCUUACAUGUCAAGUGCUUUAAACACUUAUUUACUGCUCUGGGAGAUUUCUCUUGAAGUGUGAUUGCGAGUGUUAGAUGAUGCUCGGGUCAGAGGCUCGCGGAGAUGUUUGUCGGCGGAAAUGUUUCAUUUUUUGAAAAUGCUUUAACAGCGAGGUACAGUGAGAGUGCAGAUGCUUGUUAAACACAAACGUGGUCGUUUCUUUGUCUCUCUAUUCCCCAUCCAGCUGACAGACAAAUAUCUCACUGUAUUUGGAAGUCGACUCGAAAGAAGGGAUUUGGAGUAGCACAAAGUGAGAGACGGUGAGCCAAACACUGAAAACCAAACACAACUACAGAGACAUGACUUUCUUUGAAAUAUGAAAGCUCUUUUGAUAGCAGCCCAAGUAUGAUAGUAGUCCAAGUAUGAGCCACUUAGUUGCCAUGUUUUAGAAAAGGACUUGUGAUAUGAUAUACCCUGAGCCAAGUAAUACAAUACAGAAGUGUUUGAAGUAAAGCCUAGUUAACUCUAACUGUGACGUGUAAUUAAAACAACUCCAAUAACCUUUGAUGAACACAUAUAAACCACAAAUAUGAGUGGUAUGCAGUAAUUAAAUGUAUUCUUGAGUAUCUCAGGUGGGGAAAAUGAGUCCAAACUACAUGGAUAAUUAACAGGGGUACCCCAGAGGUCGGUGAUUGGUCCCCUUUUCUUUUCAAUAUGCACCAUCUGCCCUGAUGAAGAUGAUAUCCACCUCUUAAUUUCAAACUCAGCUGUAUUGGUUUGGAUCUGAUCAUGCCUCCCUGAUAUCUGUGAAUGAACGGAGGAAAGUCACUGAGAGCUUUUAACUCUGCUCCUUACUUUAUAAACAUCUCCUGCCAGCUGGAAAUCCUUACCCCCAAAUUCCACUGCAUGCAGAACGGCGACAAAAAGGCCAUUGGUGCUGAUUGGCACUGAUCAUUUCCAUUCAAGUUAAUGUGUCAAAGUCCAACGGCUUCUUUUCGACCCCCUGCGGUUCAGCGGGCUUCUUAGCCGAUCGCCAAAGUUCUAUUAUUUCCGAACGCCAUGUCAAAAUCAAAAGCGAUUGAAAGACAUUUACCCAGGAUUUCUACUGCAUGUGGAACGGCUCCGAUCCAGGACGGUGGAAAUUUUUGCCGUACGCCAAUCCCUAUCUGUCUGUUUGUGAGAUGAAUUUCAUGGCGGAUAUGGAAAGCGGUAAUCGCGAGAACUCACAAGAACCCGUGGAUUCACGUGAGAGGAGGAAAUCUACUUCUAGACUCAUAAAAUCAGCAUCUCCUCAUCCAUGGUGUCAUUGGGAUGAAAUGCCAAUGACACCCUACUUCCUUUCCAGCACGGGUUAAUCUGUGCUAACUUUAUCUGGUAUGCUCAGGCGCCCGGAAAAAAUGGAACUCUUGCGAUCAGCUGUGGAGUCCGGCGAUCCACAGUGGAACGGAAAGAAGCCGGUGGAAAUUGACAAAUUAACUUGAAUGGUUACGAUCAGCUACGAUCGGUGGAUAUGGCCUUUUUGUAGCCGUUCUGGAUGCGGUCGAAGUUACCAGUUAGUCCUGAUGUGAGCUGAUCAUAACGACAGUGCAUAUCAGCUGUUUACCCUCUACGUAUCUUCUUUGCAACCUGUCUCCAGCCCAAAACUAAUUUUAUGUUCUGACCUUUUUAAGAGUCAGAGGAAUUGUCACCAAUGGCUGCUCUGCUUGGCUUUUACGCCUGCACACUAUUUAUUUGCAUUCAUUUACUUUAAUAGCACUCAAUGCAGUUAAUCCAAAGUGCUUUACAGAAGACACACACAUGAUUUGCAGGUGUGUGUGUACUCUCCCCACCUCAGGCUUUUUCUAUGUCAUGCAGGGAACCACACAACCAAAAAGAUCUUAUUGCAUCCGAAAUGUGUUAUUUUCGGUCAAGAUUACAGGACAUGGAAGUUGAGCUGCAUGCUUCGUGCAACGUCAAGCAGGCACGUUCCUUUCAGCAUCCACGCCAAGGCAAUUAUACCGAAACUAAAACAGCCUUAGGUAUUGUUCCAUUAUGCAGGCUCAGACAUUUUGGAAUAAAGGUGCUGCCAACUUUCUUGCUUAAUUUGACAUUUGCAUGGAUUUGUAGCACAGCGGGACUCCUAUAAAGCUUAGGAUGAUUAGUUUGGACAACUCUGUGAAUUUGAAACUUACAGGGGAGAUUUUUGCAGAACAAGAACCACCAACACCACCAGACCGAUUGUUACAGGGGAGGUAGUCUGUCCUUUCGCCGUCACCUCCUGGCUCAGACUUCUGAAGCUCUGCUAUCUGUACGACAUCUCUGAUCCCACUUGUUCUGUGCCACAAACAAGCAAAUCUCUACCUCUUGUCCUUUGCUGCUUCUUGGUGGAUUUGUUUUCCAUUGUGUUGAUACUGUAAGGAUUCCUGGCGUAUAGGAUGAUGGAUCCAUGUAAUCCCUUAACAAUUGCUCAUUUGCAUAGUUGUUGUUCGUCCUGGCAGCAUUAAUCACGAUGAGUACAGCUCGGUGGAUGGAUGUCUCUUGUUUAUCAUCAUUGUCAAGUAAUUGUGAUAAAGAGACAUCUCCCCGGUCGCGUUAUUAGGACUGUACUUUGUCAGCUCAUAUUAUCACCUGAUGCUCCAGGUAAGCACAUUACGACUGGAAAAAAAACUCCCUGAGCAGGAAAAUACGCAUAACACAAUUCAGAGACUUCUUUUCAAGAGGAGCCGUUUCAUUAGGAUUUCAAUUCCCUCACAGCCAAACAAAUGAAGUGCGUUCCAAGAUAUUAAAUUAAUUGUACGGCUGGCUAUGGGCUGCUGUGCGGGGCGAGCUCUGCUGUCACACUGAAAAUGUAAUUUAUGCAGUGCAAAUGAAGAGGAAUUACCAUGCCAUGAUUCCAACACCCAACACCGAGAAGAACAAGUUGCGCUUACAGCAUCCUCACUUUUUUUUUUUUUUUUUCUUUCCAAACAGCGGGGAAGUCAGUGCAACACAACAUGUUCCCUUUUUAAUUUUUAAUGCAAGUUUGCAUCCUAAUGUUUGAUUUCCAAUUCAGUCGGGGUGUUCUCAGAGAAAUGCAUUUUGAUAGAAUUUAAUGAAAUGGUUUAAAAACAGAGGGAGGCUGGAUGGAGGGAGUUAUUGGGAAGAUGUCACAGAUUAAAUGAAUAAAUCAGCAUUUUUUUCUUCUUCUUUGGUUCAUGAAUUACUUCUCAGACUUGUUUACUUGCACAAGUGGUUUGUGGUAAAUAAACAUUGAGUUUCCAGCUCUAUAUGUAUGAUAUCGAAAAAUCUUUAAAUAAGGAUUAUGAAUAAUGUAAAUGCAAACAAACAUUUAGUUUCGAACCUUAUAGAGAAGUAUGUUAAUCCUUGAGAAAGAGAGAAAGUUCAGAUUUGUUUUUAACUCCAGAAGAAUAAGGACAUUUAUUUUCUGUUAUUUUUUUAUUCUUUACAAACUGUAUGUUUGCCUCGGCAGGAAGGAUAAGAUGAAGGGUCCUUCGUUUUGUGAUGUAAGGAUUGUUAUUGUUCACACAGUGAAGGUCAGGCUGCACAUAGAUUUCAGUUUAAUCUUCUGAAAAAUAAUGGGAGAGAAUUCGAGAACACACAGUCCCAUAAAAAACACAAGAUAUGGUCUCUGGUCAUACUUUCAUUUCAUGUUUUUUUUUCUGUAUUUUUUCAAGCAAAUCAAAGUUGUUUUUUUUAUCUCCAUCUUUCUUUUUUCAUCUUUCUUGCUAAUUAUUUCUCAUUCUUUUAUACCUGAUUUUUAUUCGGAAUUUUGCUUUCUUUUCUCUGUUUUUCAUUUGAUUUGGUCUUUUUCUUUUUCAUUCCUCUCCUUUCUUUCCUUUUUUCUUCAUGUACCUUUUUGUUUUUUAUGUUUCUUUUUUUCCUUUUCUUCAAUUUUCUUCUUCUGUUUCUUAUCUCUCUUCGCUUUUUUUUUUUCAUUUCUUUUUUCCUUGGCCACCUUGUUUUUUUUUUUGUUUGUUUUGUUUUGUUUUGUUUAAUUUUUCUCCUUUUUUGUCUUUAAUUAUAACAUUCAUAUAUUUGGUAAUUUUUCUUUCUGUCUUUCUUUUCUUUCUUCAAACACAUUUCAGAUUUGUUUCUUGUUUUUUUUUCUUUUUUCUUACCUUUUUGUACCUUACAUUAAACACUUUUCUUUCUUUCUUUCUUUCUUUCCCUCUUUUUCAGCCAUACCUCUGCUUUUUCUUAUUCAGUUUUUAUCUUUUGUAUCUUAAAAUAUUUCUUCUUCUUUCUUUCUGUUUUGUCUUUCCACCAUAGUCAUUUUUUUCCUUUUUUUUAAAUUUUUGUUUGUUGUCUUCAUUUACUGAUUUAUUUGUUACUAAAUUUUGGAAACUUCACCUUUAGUUAAAUAAAAAUGUCUUUAUUGUGGAAACAGGAAGCUGGCUGAUAGUUUGACUCUGACUAACACUGUUCUGGUUUAUAUAUCGUUGUUAGUUUACCAUUCAAUAAUCAUACACUAUUUUAUAUAAUCCUCCUCCAAUAACAGACAGUACCUUCCUUUUAGUCUUCAUCCUGAGGCUGAAUGUAAUUGUCGGCGGCCACCUGCCUGAGCCGCACGGAGAAACAAACACGCUGUGAUCUUAGCCGCCAACUUGAUCAACACCACCUGCCAGCUGCCCUCACAAGACGCAACUCUUCAUGACAAAUUGCAUCAAUAUACACACCCAAGCCAACACUGCUGACUGCCUAUAAUGGAAACACUUGGAUUGCAGGUUUGCAUCCAUGCAACUCUUUGGAGAGAAAAAUGAGUCUCUGGGGGGGCGACGAGGGACACAAGUGUCAAACUCCACACUUAGAAUGAGUAAUGGAGGACCCGGCCUGCAAAAGCCUGCACUGACCUUUAGGUGUUCAUACACAAUAUGCAUAGCAAAGCAGGGGCACAACAUGCCAGCAUUAAUUGCUCCAAAGCAGACAUUAUUUUUCUCUGCGUGUCAUUGGAGGCAGGAGAAAAUGUGAAAUAAGUAGCAGAUAAUAAAUACAAAUAGAAGGGAGUGGUUGUUUUUGGAGCUGGAAGGUGACCGGUCCUAAAAAAAAGAAAGUGAGAAUUUUGACAGGGUUGUCGCUGGCUGACACCUCCAGACUUGUUUUCUGGCUUGCUCUCAAAAUGACAAGGUCAGCUCAUGUUGCCUGGCGCUCCUAAAACGAAAUAUUUCCCCUUUUUUUGGUGUCUUUUCUGGGAUGAAGCGGCUUAUAUAAAUCCUGUGUAUGUCCCUUUGUUUCUGCUCAAAUACAGCUGUCACACGGGAAUGGAUUGAUUGCGCAUUAUCUUUGAUUCUCCCGCUCUCUUGUCACGCUGAAGUCAGAGAUCAAAUGCGAGAUGGUACACAACAAUGACAGUGAUCUGCUUCGACCUAUCAAAAGCUUCAAAAGCUGUCUCAGAAAGGCGGCCCCGGUGCCACACACACACACACACACGCUCAGUCAUCCAGUUGACCCAGUUCUCCUGCGCUCUGGUGGCAAACACUGUGACGGCAUAAUUCAUUCUGAGGCUGAAAUCCUUUCGUGAUCGAUGGAGCCAUCAACGGUCAAGUUCACUGUUGCAACCUCUGCUCUCGCCGUCUAUAAUGUUGCCGGUUUGUCCUGUGCUAAUUGGCACUACUCAGUUCAUAAAUCACCGCAAACGGAAAAAAAAAAGAAAGAAACUCCAAGUAGCCCCAAUUCUCCAAGUUUUAUUUUUGCUGCAUUCUAGAUGACCUGGACCUUCUCAUUAGAGAGGAAAAACACAACUCUCCCUCAGUUAUGGUAAGUCAUCAAGAAAACACAUGAGCGUUUGGGGCCAUUAAAACUUCAGCAAAUUAUGUUUUAUUGUCCCUUCCUGUUGUAGCUUGUGUCAUCACCUGAUUCAGAGAUCAGGAAGAAGUAGUGGUGCCCUCAUGACUGAAAAACUGCUGCAAAGGAGCCCUUUUAGGUGCUUCUUGGUAAAUAAAACGUGAUAAAAUGCUCUCCCUGGUUCCCCUUUAUGUGGGACAUGCAUGAAAAAUCAUGAUAGUAGCUGCUCACCUGAUGGAUUAAACAUGUCAGAGUGCUCUAUGGUUGUUCUAAAAAAGUGCCCUCCAGAUGCCCUUCAGGACAUCGGAUGUAAAAAGUGACCUUUAGAUGCUCUAUCAAUAUCAAAGUGCUCUUUGGAUGCCAGUUCAGUAUAUGAAGCCUAGAAAAUGUACCCUCUGGAUAUGACUUAAUAAAAAAGAGCCAUUUGGAUGCCUUGCCAGUUUGUAAAACAUAAAGCGUGUCCUCUAGAUGUCCUUCUGGUAAAUGAAACCUGGAACACAUGCCCUUUGGAUGAAAUGUCAUUAUACCACACAUUAAAAAAAGUGACCCCUUGGUGAAAUUUCAGCAUAUGACACAAUAAAAAGUGCCCUCUAGGUGUCCUUUAAGUUCAUAGGAUAAAAAAAAUUGACCCGAAAGGUUAAAUAAAACAAAAAUGUAGCCCCCAGAUGCCCUUAAAGAUACACAACACAGGGAAAACAUGCCCUCUGGAUAGCCUACCAGUAAUCUACACUUUAAAAUGUGUCCUCUGGUUGUCCCUCUAGCAUAUAAAACACAAAAAGUGCCCUCUAGAUGUACUUUCAGUUUAUAAGAUAAAGAGAACUGCCCCAAAAGGUUAAAUAAAACAAAAAAGUGCCCCACACAUCCUUCAAGAUACAAAAUUUGGGGAAAACAUGCCCUCUGAAUGGCCUACCAAUGAUUUACACUACAAAAAGUGCCCUCUGGUUGUCCUGCUACCAUGUAAAACACAAGAAGUGCCCUUUAGAUGCCCUAGAAGUACUUUAAAAACAGGGGAAUAGUGACCUCCUUAAAAAUGAAUCAAUGAAAUGAAGUCUUGCCAGUUCAUAAAAUGCAAAAACACACCCUCUAAAGACUCUCCCAGUAUGAAAGAGCAAUUUUUACCCCCAAAAAAACAGCCCUGGAGAUGCCUGUUCAAUAUAAAAAUGGUACAGAAAUGUUCCCUCUGAAUGCCUCUCCAAUCAACAAACAUGAAAAGGCACCAUUUUGAUAAUUAAAUGUUACAUGUUUGGCCAAUUUGCAAUGUCCUUUUUUGUUGUUGUUAAUUUAAAAACUCCAGAAAGUUUUUAUUUUUUUAUUUUUUUAAUUCAAGAUAAUUACUCUGUUUUUUUAUUGACCAUGUGAAAAAUACUCGAUCAUGUUUAACUUUAGCAUGAAGUAGAAUUUAUUUUUUUGGGAAGCACAAUCCAACACAAAUAAAAACAAAACUUAGCAGUGAAACAAAACAAGCUCCAAAAGCUUAAGGGGUUAAUUUGUUGUGUUAGUGAUGCAGUGCACGCACAUUAUUCAUUAAAUCAACAUCAUUGACAUCCUCUCAGCCGAUGAAUGUAAAUGAGAAGUGCCUCAGCACUACACAGAGCCUUAAGAACCAAUAAGCCAAUGCAUGAGUGACCCCAUUUUUAACUCUGACACUGGAACAUCAUUUCAGACUCCUAAUGGAGAAAAAAAAAAACAUUGAUGACACGUGAAACGCCUGACACCAUCAUAAAACUCUAAUAACUUACUUUUUUUUAACAUUUAAUUUGCAUUGUGUAAAUGAUCCCUCCUUUCCAGUUACAGUUUGUCUUUUAAUUACCACGACAAUUUGGCCGGAGGGGCCCACUAAGUGUUGGAGUGGGCUCAGCAUUGUUUCAUUAGUUGUGAUAAUAUUUCUUUAGUCAUUGAAAUUUACGGCUGCUAAGUCUCAGCGCAGCAGGAUAGAAUUGGAGUGGGUGGCAGCUCUUACUGGCGGUGGCGGGGACGAGGAAGCGAAGGCAGCAGCGGCGGCGGUGACACGUUCUUUUCAUAGUAAAUAAUAAGCUCAUUAAAUGGCUGAAAUGUUUUUAAAAGCUAUUAUCUGCCCCAUUUCACUUUAAUUAGCCAACUGUCUUGGAGACCUGCAUGCGCAGCUUACAGAAGAUUUACUUUUCGUCAGACAACAACAGAAAGUUGAGUGAGGCUAAUCCAACAUAAUGGUAAUGCUGGUGCUUUGACAGGUGAAAUAAACUGGGGCAUUAGUCAUUCCGGAGGAAACGCUUAGAGGCCAAGAUAUACGAGGCCUCGUGCCCAGUGAUAAACAUGUUCACCGGUAAGAUUUGAUGCAAAUGUGUUUGUCAUUACAGCGGCUCUCAAAGAGGUUUAGUCCCAUGAAAAAUGACACCGUGGAUGCUUCAACCUUGUUUUUGUGUUUUUAUUACAGAAGGAGGAUGAAAGACAAAUUUAGGAGGUGAAAAUGAUUUGGAAAACCAUGUGUCUUAUAGCACCAGAAUAUAAGCCUCUUAACAAAAAGAUACUUGCUAUGUACCUGAAUUAUCACUGACAAAAAAUCUUAAGAUUUCAGAAAUGAAUCUGCAGUUUUUCUUUUUGUGAAUUGUAAUUUUUUUUAUUUUUGUUUUAGUUCUUUGUUGUUUCUAGAGCUGUCAAAUCAUAAAACCAACCAAUCUCGAGGCUUUUCAAACUCUGUUAUUUUGGAUUCCAGAAGAGUUUAAUUCAGUACAAAAGAAAUAAAGGAAGUCUUUCUGUUGAAUAGAUUUGGGAAUCAACCAAAUGCAAAGAAACUGCACUAAGUGAUCUUGUCUCUGGUUUUAUUACUUAAAGGAAUUAUGCACGGCUACACCUUAAACUUUGACCCUGAGAAAGGGGCUUAAAAGUGCUUAUAAUAUGAAUUUUAGUGUUUAUUUUAGUAGAUAUUUCAAAGAUAAAACUGUUAAAAGUUUUCAAAUAUGAAAAAGUGCAUACUGUCUAUCUUGAGCUCUGUGAAGGCAGCUCCAUGUCCACUCUAGGUUUCUUGCAGCCUGAUAAAAAGACUCAGAUUUACUUUAAACCAGUAUUGACAAGUUUGUUUUUUUCCCCCCUCACAGUAUAUUUUCAGUCAAUGUUGUCUGAAACAUUUUGUACGCCUUCAGCUUUUAUCAGAGCCUGUUAUUGCCUCUUAUUCUACGGCCUUUUCAAUCUGUUGCAUUAACAGGAGAUCCCUGGAUGAUAAUGAGUAAUUAUAAUUUCUUGGAAUAACUGCACACCAUAUUGACACUGUUUGGACAUUUUCCACUUUUUCAUGGGCCUUCAUGGACCUUAUAUAAUCUUGAGUGAAAAUGGACGUAAUCUAAAUGUCUGAAAGUUGUUUGUGUUGUUGCUUUGAUUAAAAUUCGUGUUAGCCGUUCUCCGUCUAUCUUGAACUCUGUGAAGGCAGCUCCAUGUCCACUCUAGGUUUCUUGCAGCCUGAUAAAAAGACUCAGAUUUACUUUAAACCAGUAUUGACAAGUUUGUUUUUUUCCCCCCUCACAGUAUAUUUUCAGUCAAUGUUGUCUGAAACAUUUUGUACGCCUUCAGCUUUUAUCAGAGCCUGUUAUUGCCUCUUAUUCUACGGCCUUUUCAAAGUCUGUUAUUGCUUUUUAUUCUUCUGUUUCUUCAAAACAAACAUGCUUUAGGGAAGAUGGGACAACAUCCUCUUUGCAACCACUUAAGAGCCACAAUACAGAUCUAUUUACUGUCAACAACUGCCGUAGGAAAAAGUCCCUUUACACUGAAUGUAUGUGACUGGGAAGCUUUUAUCCGUUCUGUACGGUUUUGCGCGGUUUUCGAAGGCCGGUUAAAAGCUGGACGUUAACUGAACAAGCUUGGCCUCGACUCCUGCCGUGUGAUAAAAAUUUAAUAUUUCAUGAUUGAAACUUUGCCGCCCUGCAGCCCUCUCAUUAGGAAGAUUGUUCCUUUGAUGGGGAACAAUAUGACCAGUCAGCACAGACUACCUUUUCUCCAACUGGGACAAUCACUACUUGACAAGUAUUAGACCCUCUAAUUACAGCUCACAGCUGAGGGGAUAUUUCUGAGACAGUUGGUAGAGUCAGCGGUAAAAGGUCGUAUUUUUUUCCUCUCAGAGGUUGGUCGUAUCACACAAGUGAAGUCCUUUUGUUUGCUGCAAACCAUAUAAUUGGAAUAUGAGUACCACGUGUUGGGGACUGAAUAUAAUUUCCAUUUCACUGAUAUUUAAAAAGUAAACGCUUCUCUAUGUUAUAGCUCUAUGUGUUCAUAUAGUAUGCAUUAGCUGCUGCAGGUAGCAACCAGUCUUUACAGUGUCCAAUAUUUCAACACGACAACAAAAUGCUUUAUCACUACUUACAGCUACUUCUAUUACUUCCAAUUGUGCCAAAAAGGAUUUGAAACUUCUUGGCAAACAAAGUGACAUCUGGUGGCUUGUCAAACUAAUGACAGCCUCCUAAAUGAUGGUCUACAGAUGGUACACAAAUUUUAGUCUUGGAGAAAUAAAUAAGUGACACAAGUGCGUUGUGAGUUGAUACUAUCUGGAUAUCUGUCUACGCACAUCCAUCUCUUAUUAAGUUCACAAGUGAUGUUGUGAUAAGUCUUAAGCUGUUGCAUUAACUGGGGAUCCCUGGAUAACAAUAUAAUCAGUUAUCUUGGAAUAUUGACAUUGACAAUGGUUGGUCAUUUUUGCACUUUUGCACAUUUCUUAACAUGCUACAGUUUUAUCAUUUAUAAACUAUUAAAACAAAACUGUAACGGUUUCCAAAUGAGUGGUAAGUGACAGCAAACCCGUCAGCAUACAUUUUGGAAACCUUGGACAGAGGGUUUUUCUCGGGUUGGUAUGUCAUUUUGAACCUUAUCAUUGUAGAGUUGAGUAGCUCAAUGUUUGAAAACAGAAAGGCACAAACUGGAACUCCUGAAAAGUGCAAAUCUGUUGCAUUAACAGGAGUGGACAUGGAGCUGCCUUCACAGAGCUCAAGAUAGACGGAGAACGGCUAACACGAAUUUUAAUCAAAGCAACAGUAUGCACAACUUUCAAACACUUAAAGUACGUCCAUUUUCUCCCAAGAUUAUAUAAGGUCCAUGAGGAUUUGAAGUCGUAUAAGCGAGUAAACCAUUUGUAGAGUAUUAACCCCAAUGAAAAUUAGUCAUUUAAGUUGGUAACUGGGUAAAAAGUACAGCUGGUGUUGCAUGUAUAAUGAGAAUAUUCAAUUACAGAGAGCCGACUGGAGGAAAUGAUUAAAAACGGUUACAGAGGAGAAGAGACAGGGGAAUUAACUAAAAGUCUUUAAUUACACUUGCUGGACAUUUAUCACACUGAGAGAUGAGGUUCAUUUCCCGCUCAUCUUAAUCUUCAUCAUGUAAGGGGGGGACGUGAAGAGGACUCCUGACUGGGCUCAGAUGCGCAGUACAACGCAUUUGAACAGUCCUGUCCUCUCAGCGGUGCCCCAGAGACCAGCUGUGAAUGAAAGCUUCUGCAAGAGGAAUACAGCCCAGGGUUGGUGAUUUCUUUUUGUCCUUAUGUCCACAAAAUCUGAACUUACGUUGUUGGAAUUUGAAGAGGAAAUGGUGCAAACAUUUUUCCUGUUUUGGUUUUUAUUUGUGAGUUAAUUUUCUCAACUACCAACAACCCAACCCAGCAGCUUUCUGAUCCGCCAAACAACCAACUUAACUUAUUUUCUGGUGAAUCUGAGAGUCUCCAUUGUACUUGAUGAAAGUUGUUUUAUUUAUCAGUUAGAAGGAGAGCCUGUGAAACAAAGUGAACCAGUUUGUUAAUCUGAGAUGUGGGCGAGUUGUGAGUGAAUAACGGGUAUUAUCAUUUCAACGAGCAAAUGGCACUCCUGACUCUAAUGCGCGGGUUACAGCGAACCGAUCAGCAUGCGAAGCUCCAGGUAGCUUGAGUGAUAACACCAAAACCUGCAAAUUAGAGCUGGCGCACUAACUGUACACUCUAAACGAAAAUCAAGUGGCAUUUUGGAAAAGUUUCAACGUAGACAUCACUGAGUAGAGGAUACAAGACUUUGUCAGAGGAACAAACUUAGUCUAGUUGAGCUAAAGCAACAUGGCGCAUCACCAGUAUGGCAGGAGUAAGCAGAAACUUAAAAGCAUUGUAUUUUUACAUAACCAGCAUCGCAUUGGCAUCAGUGCUAACAAGGACAAAGUCACAAUUAUCUAGUCCAAAUAACAUGUGCUUUUUCUAUCUCAGAUAUAGUUACUAACUAGGAUUUAACUCAAAUUAUGUGAUAUGAAUGGCUAAAGUAAACAUAAACUUCAGGUUGUUGUGUGCAUCGAAUAAUGUUAUCAAAUAUGAAUAUGACUUUUUUGAAAACCCUAAUAUUUGAGAAGUAACUGUCUGCAGAAACAUCCGACCUCUGUUUGCACAGUUGAACUUUAACAGGUGUAAACACUGUUGGAAGUUGUAUCGCAGACGUCACCUGCAAAAGUUGUUCUUUGUCAUGUCCUUAUGUUAUGUUAUGUUGAAACUAAUUUGUGUUUGUUUUCUGUGAGGGACUGCCUGAUCUCCCCAAACUUUGGUCUGAAAUGUGGCAUGGCUGGCCCUCCAUAUGUCAUCAGCCUCUGAUCUCUGGCACCUGAGAAACCUCUACGAAAGGCAGAGCCAAGUUUCUCCCUCCCUCACAGUCCGGAUCAGCUCCUUCCUUUAGCCACAGCUCUUUCUUUGUUUGGACCUUAACAUGAUUUUAUUGUAAGUACACUUUUAUUUGCCUUUUGGUUCCCUUGUGUUGCUUCCCCUGAGCCAGGGUUGUAACACUUACACAAAUUCUAAUUUUUGCAAUUUAUAGUUAAAAUAAAAUCUGAGUUCUAACUAGUAAAGUUUGUAAAAGUAGCACCAAAAACAAAAGUCAUGCUUGCGAGUUCAUAGACGCCACACAAGAUUACUUGGCAGCUGCUGAGAUUCCAAAACUACCAACUGAGCAUGUGCAGAACUGUGAUUCCUCACUACAAUCUUAAAUAUUGAACUCUGAAAGUGUGUUGACUUUUUACUGUUGAAGUUUGAGUAAAAAACACACAAUUAAGAACAAAGUAGCUGGGUGAGGUCACCUUUCAAAUGAAAUCCAGGUCCUCUGUGUCUGCAGCCAGGUACUCCUGAAAUAUUAACCGUGUGUUCGUUAAAUUUCAAUAAUAACACAUGGCUGGAAAAUCCAAGUCUCCUGAAACAGUAUUAAAAGGUUUUCAGCUGAAUCUGGUUGCCACUGUGAGAAACAACCAAACAGACCACAAUGAAGACACUGAUGGCGGACGUAAAGUGCAGUAAUAACUACAAAAAUCUACUUAUCUACUAACUCCAUCGAUAUUUAACAAGAAAAUCAUGUCUCCCCUCUGCUGUUCUCACAUAUUGUAGUCAAGUAAGAGCGAUCAAGGCCACUCUGACAGUGAGUUUCACUAACUUAUCAUCUCCCAUUGUUGAGUGGAUGCGGCAAAAAUGUGUUUGAAAUUGAUAAAACAAUAAUUGAAGUCGUAAAAAUAUGUUAUAAAGAGUCAGAAACUAGUGCACAGAGAACAAUCACGAAUUCUUCAACACUGUCUGGAGUGCACAGUAAAAACAAAGGUGGUAUUGGAGGGUUAUUGCUAUUACGAUGGGUUGCAUCAUGGCGUAUUGAUUUUUGACUCCUGACGCUCCAUACUUAAACCAAGAAGAGAACAAUACCAGCAGGUUUUCCUCUGAAGUGCAUCUGAAGAAAUGUUGAACAUUUUUAGAUUCACUCAUCAAAAUGAAAUAAAUGGACACACCUUUCAUUACCAGCCUAAUCUGGACAGUAGGAUUCACUGCAGGACUAUUAUAUGAGACUGCAUUACAAUCUGGACGCGGUAAUGACCGUCACUUGAUAGUCCAUUGAAUUUUCUUAGUGGAAAUCCAAUUUCAAAUUUCCUCCCUCUUAAUAGGGCCAUUUUCUUUUCUGCUUCCUAUCCCUGGAUGAUCAAUACACCCGCGUUUAUCACCCAAUAUGGAAAUGCUUUCUGCAAAGAAAUGUUGUUUUCAUGUAAGCUUUCCUUAAUUGUUCUUGAAAAGCAUGCACUGAAACGUCCCCGCCCUUUGGGAAAAUAUCGCCUCCCUAAACAGAAGUGACACUCCGGCAUAUGCUGAGGUCUUCACUGCGGUGCAAGCUCCUCAUUAAGUUAGCUGGCAUGGAGCUCAGAGAAAUAAUCUUUGCUUAUAGCACAAACGCCGCCCCGGAAUGACUCCUACAAGCGCGAGAGUGCGGGAUGCAAAUUUGCAUUUCGCUUACAACUUUGAAAAAUAUUUGGAGUACAGCAUGAGUCAUGACUGAUACGCUUUUGGGUCCACUGUAAGCAAAAAAAAAAAAGGAGGGAAAAGGCAGAGAAGAAAGAGAAGGAACAUGCCAGAUGUGCACGAAGCACUGGGACCCAUUUUAGAUUGGAUUCUUCUUUUUUUCUUUUCCAGCCAGUCACAUUUACUUUGUGCCUUUGUGCCUUAAGUCUAAUUGAAGCUCAAAAAGGAGAGGGAGAGAUUGAAUUGCAGAUUGAAUUGCAUCCCAAGGUCAUUGGAGGGAUACACAACCGCAGUAGGAGUGCCGCCUAUGGGCCCUGAAGGUUCUUACUCGCCUCUCCGAAGCAAUUAUAAAUCCACUGAUGUAGUUUUGAUUAUUUCCUGCAGUGUUUGGCUGUUUUAUUGACCAUGUGUUAUUAGACGCUGAGCUGGCAUAACAUUUGUCUGAGGUGAAUAGUCACACUGUGACUUUCUGUGAGGGAUUCUGUUUCAAAUAUCCACCCACUAUCCAUGUAUCGUCCUACCAUGACGGGGUUAAAACCAGUGUUGUUCAAGAUCACUCUAGAGGGCACCGACUCAUAGUUCAGUUCACAUGGAUUAAAGGAUCUAUACCCAUUUUUUGGGUCAUAUGGAUUCGAUUGUUUGUUUUUUUUUUCAAGGGAUUAUAAUUAUGGGUUAUUUUUCUGAGAGUAACCCAAUAAUUGGGUCAGAACGUUGGGUCAGGCAUGUCCAAACUAUUCCACAAAGGGCCGGUGUGGCUGCAGGUUUUUCUUCCAACCAAUCAAGAGCACACGGUCUGACCAAUCAGCUGUCUGAAGACUGAGAUCAGCUGAUGAAAUGAAUCAAGUCUGGUGUGCUGCUGCUUGGUUGGAAGAAAAACCUGCAGCCACACACCGGCCCUUUGUGGAAUAGUUUGGACAUGCCUGCAAGUCUACGUCAAUCGUUGGGACGUUUGGAACGGGGGGUUGGGGUUUGAAUUCCGUAUGAGACACAUCUGUAAGGAGCGAGCUACAUCUACCAGUGUGGGUCCUUAGGCAAGACCCUUAGCGCUAUGGCCAACGUCAUAAACAUGAGUGUGUUACCACUGAAAGGCAAACCAGCUCAGAUGUCACCGGGGUUAACAAGGUAACAAGGUCUGCAAAGCAAAGCAAAGCUCCCAAAAAAGCUCCCUAAAUGCAUAAAUCAAUUUCACCCAACAUCAUGAGUCAAAUUAGCUCAAAGAUUGGGUUAACUUGACCCUUGAAAAGAGUUACUGAGUCAACCCAAAGUUUGGGUUAAUUUGAAUAACCCAACAUUCUGGGUCAAAAUACCCCAAUAAGUAGUCAGUCCCUUUUCAACCCUGAUGUUGGCAUUUUUAGAGUGCAGGACUUCAUCCAGCUGAUUCCCCUUCCCCUUGGAGCUCCUCAAAAACAACGCCCCCGCUCACAUGCACGAACGCUGCCAUCUGCAUCAGAACAUAAAGAUCAUUUUUACCAGAAUAACAAAAAGUGUAUCUAAAUCAGAUUACCAACCCUAACUUUUAAAGUGAACUAGAGCUGAUUCUCAUUUGUGUUUUCUGAGGAAUGGUGAUCCACAUGCUUGAGCUACGAGGGGCUGCAAAGACCCAGCUGCAGGCCCUCAUUAGCCGGAGCCAUCUUUAGCAGGUCUUGGCUGUCAUGGCUAUCUCCCUCACGGCUGUCUUCAGACCUUUGGGGUCUAAGCUGACCUGCGAAGAGGAAUAGCUCAUUGAUUUGCGGGAAAACCACAGCAGCCGACUUAGACUGGGGGGCAGGUUGCACGCCAUCCUUUGAGAAGCGGCUCAUCCAUCAGGUCCGGAUUCCUGGCUUUCUUUAGCUGGUGAGAAACGACCAGCUGAUCCUUCCUGGGCGCUGCUGGUUUAACUAAGAUGGUUUAGUGCUCCUGGAGAGAAGAAUGAAAGUCAAUGAUUCCUUUCCACAGAUUGAAUUUUGGUUUAACUAAUCAGAAUCGAGUAGUUGAAGUCGUUGAACUCCUAAACCAUCAAACAAUCUCAGCGUUUUAUUUUAAACCAAUCUUGCUUUAAGCAUCCGUGCUUUUGUUCCAACAAACCAAACGUUUAUUCACGACACUAUGAUUAAGUCCUGCUUAAAAAGGACUGAAAAACAAACACAAUAAGUGUUUACAGCAGCUGGAGUGUCUGUAAAUUCCAUAUAAAUGCAUAUAUGACGGACUCGUCAUUCCCUCCUCUGAUUGACAGUUUGCAGUCUCUCCAACAUGGCGACGUUUCUUUGCAUUCCGGUUGUAAACUAAGGGGGCGGAGAUGGAGCGAUAUCUUUUCAAGUGGCUCUUGAAAAGCAAAGAAAUAUCCCCUUGAGGAUGCCAGUUGUAAACAAAUGAACAGUUUGAAUGCGCAUUUGCAUUGUCAGGAUUUGCAACUGCAAAAAAAGACACUUGUUUGAGAUGUUUUUUCACAACUGGACUGCAGAUUAUUCCCAUGGACAAACACAAUCAUUCAGCAAUCAUGUCGCUCUAUUCUGCAGGUUUUAUACGCUUUCAAAAAUGUUCGAAGGCCAGUAAUGAAGUGACACUGUAUUUAUGCAAAACUUUAAAAAACAGCCGGUUAAAAAGAGCUUUAAAAAACCAAGCUCGCACUGUGGAUGAUGGUGACUCAUACGAACGAAAAUUAACACAGUUUUUGUUCUCUCAAUUAAACGAUCAGACCUUCUGAGUGACCUGUUUUUGUAUUUCGUCAGUCUUUUUCUGGCUGGUUUUUUGCAGAGGGCCACUUUCAAUCUGCCAGACUCUUUUCUGUCCUAACAAUGUGAGGCAAAUUAGGCCUUCAUUAAAAAAAUUACCAGCGUUGUCACACUCAGCAAAAACAGAAGUACAGGUGUCCAAGGCCUGCUCUCGAUCAUGUUUUUGUGCGGCAUGAACACUGAUUUGUUUGAUUUGCAACCCUGAACAUUGCACCCGUUUAAUUUUGCACCACUUGUGUUUGUAGUUGAUAGGAUGAGGCGGCUGCAGCUCUCACCGACUCAGACAUCUAGUAAUUAUAGCUGCGCUGCUUUGAGGAAGAAGAUGCAUUUCAGAUGUGAGUUUGGGAAACAUUUAUGGCAGCUUUGAUUUAUUUAUGGAGCUGGAAUCAAACAAAUUACAUCUUCAAGUUAUGAAGGCGGACAACAGACACUGACAGAUUUGGGGUUCAGAGCAAACAAGCUUCGUCUUUAGACUCCAGAUGAGCUAAAUCAGUCAGGAUCCUCCACCUCCCUCUUUAAGGCUUCUUUUAAUUAUUCCUUAACAGCUUGUCAAGGUCUCCCAAAGCAGAGUCCAGCUCCUCCGUGACAGAAAACCGCUGUCCAGAAUUCAGUGAAAAUCUAUAAUGUGGCCCGCGCUCUCACCUUUCAACCUCGUAAUCGUCUGAGAAAUAAGUACUACACCCAUAAGAAUGAAGGGGUCAUUUGUUCCUGACCUGUAAUACAACUCACAGGAACACUCUGUGAAAUAGCUGCACAACUUCCACUGACAACCAUGUCCUCAUACAGGAGCCUUUGUACCUGGUGAAAGGUGGAUUAUAUCAGAAACGGCAGUGACUGCUGGUUUAAUGUUUGAAAUUUGCCUUUUAUUUAAAACUAUAACGAACAAUAAUACCUCUGUGUCAAAGCUCUGCAUUUGUUCGAGAACAUAUUCAGUGAGAUAUUUCACAGUUUUGAUCGACUCCAGAUCAUCAAAGCUGAAUGUGAAUAAUUAUCCAGCAGCUGUCGUUACAGAGCAGUUCAGCCCUUUUCUUUAUGAACACAAACACGGCGUUUGUGGUUUUUCGGCUUUUAUUUGACGUCCAAGAAAACAGAUAAAGCAAAAGUGUCCAGUGGAAGACUUUUAUGUCUUGAUUUCAUUCCUCUUUUUUUCUGUCUUUAAUGCACUUUUCUUACCCUCUAGAGGUCAGUACAGCCACAUUGCAUGGUCGGUGAAGAGCGUUAAACAAUACUUUACAAAAUGAAACUAUCAGUUGAACUUUGACACCAUCUAUUAACUUACUGAUUGAAUUGAAAAAAGAAAAUGUUGAGACUAAAAAGGAGAAACUCAAAUUUGAUGACUUUUUAAAGACUAAAGUCUUGUGCGUUGUUACCUUUUGUUAUCCUAAUGUUUCAUGUCCUGUGUUUUCUGUUUUACUUUAAUACUCACCUCUGUGUCUUGUUUCAGAUCCUCCACUUCCUGUCCGCCUGUGUUCUGGGAUUACCCGCCCCUCCUUGCUGUGUUGCUCCUGCAGAUGAUUGUCUCCACUCGCCUCUGUGUCCCCUUUCUUCUGCACCUGUUUGCCUCUGUCCAGCAUGAGUUUCAUUCCAGAGUUAGUAUUCCUCGUACGACCAUUUUCUUCAGGUUUGGACCUGCUUCUGCUUUUUACUGUUGUCAAGAGUCCUGCAUUUCUAUCCUCUGUUUAUGCCAAGUGGGACGGAAUAAAAAAUAAACUCACAUUGUGAAGGGUAAAAAAAAAAAAAAAAAGACUCAAACAUGACUGAAAUUGUUUUGUUGCAUCUAAAACUUCCAUUCAUUGUGUUUUGCAUACUCGCAGCAGGGUAUUCUGUGAGUCCUUGCAGCAUGGAAAUGGCCUCUGGAAAUUCUGAAGUCUCUCAUCAUGACAAAAUAAUGGAUUAAAAUCAAUCUGUGGUACACUAUGAGGUAAACACACACUGUUCUGUGUUGAUUUUAUUGAAUUAUCUUUGAGACUAUUACUAAGAUGGCCAAAGUUGGCGUCUCUCAGCCCAGCAAUGUCAGACUAAAUCCUGUUUUUCUUACUGGUAAAAUUUUUGCACCAUGUAAACGUCACAGUGUCAUAGUGUCAUGAUGAUAUAGCUUGAGUUUGCCACCCAAUUUGGGAUGUACCAAUCCAUUUUUUCACAAAUAAUUCGAUCUCAAUUCCUGAAUUUGGAUAUCUGCUGAUAAUGACACUAUUCCGAUACCAG